rnacentral:lncRNA from 1 species
UUGAAUUGUACAUAACUUGAACAUUAGGACCAUAGGUCUUGAUGUGAUUCUUGAUAUCCCUAUAGGUCACAAGGCCACCAUUACUCAUAGCUGGUCCUGCUGCUGCUACUCCAAUACCAUUGUCUUCAGGUUUCACAAGCGUCCAUGCAUAGCCGUAGAAAGGCAAACACAAAACCAACUUAUCAGCCAAUAACCCUCUCUAAAUCCAUGCCCUUAAAACCUGAUCAGUACUGUCAAAGAAGCUCAUAAUGCAUGGAAGGAUGCAGCACACGUGUGAGAUGAAUAUAGUCAGCUGAAUCAAUUGAAGAGUGGAGUGCCAGCUCAGCUGAAGUUAGUUAGACACGUUAAGAUCAAGUUUUAGUUAGUUCUUCAUUUUCUGUUAAGCUGAAAAACAGCUGAGUAUAAAUACAAGCAUAUUGUAAUCAUUUUGAGGUUAAGUAAAAAUAAAAUAAAGCAUUUGAUUCCAGAAUUUCUUUUACAAAUUUUCUUAGCACUUUAGAUACAUUUUCUCAGUAACCAAACAGUUUGUUCAUUCAAGCUUUUAAGCUUUCAAACAUGGUAUCAGAGCCUUACAGAGCUAGUUCCAGUAAUCAACAGUCAAGCCUUCGUAAUCAAACAACAAACAACACAAAUCAACCUACUCAAAUCAACUUCUCUUUUUCUAAUCCUAUCAAGCUAGAUCGAUCCAAUUACUUACUCUGGCGUUCUCAAGUUUUGGCCUCAAUAAGAGGCAAUCGUUUGGAAGAUUUCGUCACAAGAGCCAGAUCAGUACCUGAUAAGUGUCUUCUGUUAACUGAAGCAGAUGGAUCUACACAACAAGUUGAAAAUCCAGAAUAUCAGAUCUGGAGAUCACAGGAUCAGACACUUCUUGGCUGGCUACUGUUGUCAUUAAGUGAAGGUAUCUUAAGUCUUGUAAUCAAUUGUGAGAGUUCAUUUGAUAUAUGGAAAACUUUGGAAAAGAAAUUUGGAGUUCAAUCUGAAGCUCGAGUUCUUCAGCUCAGAUACGAACUAAACACUCUUAAAAAGGAAGCCCUUAGUGUUGAAGAUUAUUGUAUUAAAAUGAAAGCAAUAGCAGAUAAGCUGGCCAGUGCUGGUAGUUCAAUUACAGAGAAGGAUCUUAUGCUAACUAUUCUUAAUGGAUUAGGAUCAUGAUAUCGUGAUAUUGCUACAUUUAUAACUGGUUCACGAAUGGAGUUUGAUGAUGCUUAUGCACUGUUACUCACUCAUGAGACUAGAUUAGAGCAGGAGCAAGGUGACAAAAGUAUGUUUAAUGCAAACUAUGCAUACACAAAUGCAUAUUAUCCUAGAGCUUAUUUUGCACAGCCUAGAAGAAGUUUUAAACGAGGAGGUUAUUCUGGUGGUAGAACUCCUUUCUUUGGCAGAGGAAAUAUGAAUUACUCUCCAAGAAUGUUUAAUGGAGGCUUUAGAAAUGGAUAUGGCAGAGGAUUUUUUCCUGGAAAUAACUCAACUGAUUUCAAUCAUUUUCCAGCUCCUAGGAAUCCAGUACCUAGGAACUCAUCUUUUCCAGCUAGAAAUGGAUCUGCUAACAUGAGUGGAUCACAAGGAAGUUUUAAUAAUGCUGGAGAGAUGACAUGUCAGAUUUGUUUUAAGAAUGGCCAUACUGCUGAUGUCUGUUGGCACAGAUUUGUUGAAGAUUUUGUACCUGUUCCAAGAGGUUUUGGCAAGGGAAGAACACCAAGAGCAGCAUAUUUAUCAAACUUUGAUGGCUCCAUUUCUAAUCCAGAUUUUGGCUAUGAAAAUCUUAAUACUAUGUUUCCAGGUUAUGACUCUAUAUCUGGCAAUAGCUACUAUUCUGGAAUGGAUGGAUACACUUCUGGAGCAGCUAGAACAGCUUUCAUGGCAAAUUUUGAAGGGACUGCUGAUGAUGGAUGGUAUCUGGAUAGUGGGGCAACUCACCAUUUAACCAACAAUAUGGAGAAUUUGCAGAUCAAUGAAGAGUUUAAAGGUACUGAUUAGCUUAUCAUUGGAAAUGGUCAAGGUUUGUCUAUUACUCAUGUUGGACAUGCAUUUCUGGUAUUAAGAGCUUCUAAACCCUUAUCUACACAUGCUAGAAUAAAACUUAAAGAUAUGUUACUUGUCCCUUCAAUUACCAAAAAUCUAUUAAGUAUUUCUAAACUCACAUCUGAUAACCCUUUAUCUGUUGAAUUCUGUGGAAAUGCUUGUUUUGUGAAGGACAUGAAGGGUCAAGUUCUUCUGCAGGGUAUUGCUGAAAAAGGCCUUUACAAGCUGCUGCUGAACUCAAAUUCUCUUUCUUCAUCACCUACAUCUUAUCUUUGUAAAUCCCAGCCAAAUAAACUAGUCUCUAUGUUGUCUGCUUUCAAACACUCUGAUAAUGGUACUCGAGCUUGUUUUCAGUUUGUUUUAAAUAAGUGUAAUGCCAAACCUAAUGUAAUAACUUUGUUACAUAGAAAGUUUGGUCAUCCAAGCUCAAUGACAUUGAUGCAUUUGCUCAAAUCAUGUAAACAGUUUAAAGUCUCUCCAAAAGACAUGUUAUCUUCUGCAAGUACUUUAUGUGAAGCAUGUCAGCUAGGCAAAGUCCAUAAGCAACAUUUCUCAAUAACCGAAACAAAAACAAAAGAGGUAUUAGAAUUGAUCCAUACUGAUCUUUGGGGGCCUUCACCCACUGUGUCUAGAGAUGGAUACAAAUAUUACAUUAGUUUUGUGGAUGAUUACACUAGGUACUCUUGGAUCUAUCCUCUUAAGCUCAAAUCACAAGCAUUUGAAGUUUUCAAAUUGUGCAAAACUCAAGUUGAAAAUCAGUUUGAUACCAAAAUUAAGAUGCUACAAUCUGACCUUAGGGGAGAGUUUAGAGCAUUUACUGAUUUUCUCAAUCAAAAUGGAAUAAUCUUUAGGCACUCAUGUCCUUACAUCCAUCACCAGAAUGGUCUUGUUGAGAGGAAGCACAGGCAUAUAGUUGAACUAGGAUUAACCCUCAUGGCUCAAGCAAAUCUUCCUCUUCAAUUCUGGUGGGAAGCUGUUCAUACAGCAGUGUAUCAUAUUAAUAGAUUGCCUACCCCUGUUCUGAAAUUCUUAUCUCCUUAUGAGAAACUUUUCAAACACAAACCAGAUUACACAUUUCUAAAGUGUUUUGGUUGUCUUUGUUAUCCAUACUUGAGAGACUUUAACAAACAUAAGUUUGAUUUUCACACUUCUAAAUGCAUUUUUAUUAGAUACAAUCCCUCUUAUAAAGGAUACAAAUGCUUAGCAAGUUUUGGUAAAGUCUAUGUUCUUAGACAUGUCAUUUUUUAUGAAACACAUUCCCUUAUCCAAUAAACAUUGCAUUCUCAACAGAAAAUCACAUAUCUUCUAAAACCUCAGUGUCUAAUUUCUCUCAGCAACAUAUCUAUCAUCUUUCUACAAUAGCCUUACUCAACAGCAGCUUUGAAGGUCUUCAGUCAGCAAGCUCAGCAAGAAAUGAACAAAUGCCCUUUGGUCCCACACAUACAGAUGUUUUGAAUCAACAAGAACAUCCAUCACACACAUCCUUAGAGUUAUCAUCCUCAACCUCACCAUCACCAAACACAUUACUAAUGCAAUCAUCCAUUCUACAACCAGAGGAAACUUCUUCACAGAAUAUAGACCAAAUUCAAACCAGAAAUCAUUCCCAACCAUCUUCUCAUCCAAUGAUUACCAGAUCGAAAUCUGGAAUCUUCAAACCAAAGGUCUAUACAGUCACCUUAGCCAACAAAGAACCCAGUACAGUUCAAGAAGCUCUUAGUAGUCAGAAUUGGCAUCAAGCCAUGGUAGAUGAGUAUGAAGCUUUGAUGAAGAAUAAGACUUGGUCACUGGUACCAUUUUCAAAUGCAUACAAAGUAGUUGACAACAAAUGGGUGUUUAGACUCAAGCAAAAUACUGAUGGAAGCAUAGCCAAACACAAGGCCAGAUUGGUUGCCAAAGGUUUUCAGCAAACUGAAGGUGUGGAUUACUUUGAGACAUUUAGCCCAGUUGUAAAAGCUUCAACAGUGAGGAUUGUUUUGAGUUUAGCUGUGAUGCAUAAAUGGAAAAUAAGGCAAGUGGAUGUGAAUAAUGCCUUUUUGAAUGGAGAAUUGACAGAGGAUGUCUAUAUGUAUCAGCCUGAAGGUUUUAUUGAUCAACAAAAACCUAAUCAUGUAUGCAAGCUGAAGAAGGCCUUGUAUGGCUUAAAGCAAGCUCCUAGAGCUUGGUAUGACAAGCUUAAGAAUUGUCUGAUUGCUAAUUGGAAAUUUCAGAAUUCAAAGGCUGAUACCUCUCUUUUCUUCAAAGAAGUGCAGGGCUCAAUGAUACUCAUCUUAAUCUAUGUAGAUGACAUUCUAAUGACAGGACCUGACAAUGGUGAACUGGAGAAAUUCAUCUCAAAAUUCAGUAAGACUUUUGCUUUAAAAGACUUGGGAAUUCUGUCAUAUUUUCUAGGAAUAGAAGUGUCCUAUGCUGAAGAUUGCAUCUAUCUAUCUCAGAAGAAAUAUAUCUUGGAUUUGUUAUCCAAAGCUAAUAUGCAAAAUUGUAAAGGCUGUGACACUCCCAUAGUUACUGGAUCAAAGCUUCAGAAAGAAGUCACAGGCUGUUUGGGUCAAUAUAUUGAGGAUGCAACAAGCUAUAGAAGCUUAGUUGGAGGUUUACAAUAUCUAGUAUUAACCAUACCAGAGAUAGCAUUUGCUGUGCAUAAGUUGAGCCAGUAUGUGACAGCUCCAACACUCCAGCAUGUUAUGGCUUGUAAAAGAGUUCUUAGAUACCUCAAGGAGACUGCAGAUUAUGGUUUGAAGUUUUCAGCAGGUGGGGAAAUGAAGAUCACAGGAUUUACAGAUGCAGAUUGGGCAUGUGAUGUUGAUGACAGAAAAUCAAUAGGAGCCUAUUGCAUUUAUUUUGGAAGCAAUCUAAUUUCCUGGUCAUCCAAGAAGCAGGCUGUGGUUACACGAUCCAGUGCAGAGAGUGAAUAUCGUGCUCUUGCUUCUGCAAGUGCAGAGAUAACAUGGAUCCAGUCGUUAUUCAAUGAACUUAGCAUUAAGUGUACUUCAUUACCAACUAUCUGGUGUGACAAUAUAAGUGCAACAGAGUUGGCCAAGAAUCCAGUUUAUCAUUCAAGGACUAAACACAUUGAACUGGAUAUGCACUUUAUUAGAGACAAGGUUUUGGCAAAGGAGUUAGAGAUUAACUAUAUUCCCAGCGAGGAGCAAAUUGCUGAUGCUUUGACAAAGCCUCUGACAUUUAUUCAUUUCAACUAUUUCAGAGCCAAACUCAAUGUGCAACCAUGCCCCUUGAGUUUGAGGGGGACUGUCAAGGAAGCUCAUAAUGCAUGGAAGGAUGCAGCACACGUGUGAGAUGAAUAUAGUCAGCUGAAUCAAUUGAAGAGUGGAGUGCCAGCUCAGCUGAAGUUAGUUAGACACGUUAAGAUCAAGUUUUAGUUAGUUCUUCAUUUUCUGUUAAGCUGAAAAACAGCUGAGUAUAAAUACAAGCAUAUUGUAAUCAUUUUGAAGUUAAGUAAAAAUAAAAUAAAGCAUUUGAUUCCAGAAGUUCUUUUACAAAUUUUCUUAGCACUUUAGAUACAUUUUCUCAGUAACCAAACAGUCUGUUCAUUCAAGCUUUUAAGCUUUCAAACAAGUACUUCUAGCAUAGCCGCCGCUACUUGAGCCAUACAGAGCCGCAUGUGCCUCGGUGAAGUUUGUUGACAUAGGCUCGUAGUAUUCAGCUGUAACAACAUGAACCUAAUUCAAGUUUCGUUGCAUCGAUUUCAAAAGGUACGAAUUGUCUGGUGGUAAAUAACGAAAUCUUGCGGUCAGGAUCAGCUGGGAUUGCUGGCGGCCAGAGUUUUUUGCCUCUAAUUGUGUAGCAGCUCGGCACUCGUCAAAGAAUAAACCCGUAUUGGACAUAUCGGUGCUCGUGUUCGGAGCUUUCCAAGCAAAGUCUAGGCCCUGAAAGCCAUAAAGCCUAGCUAUUCUUAUUGAAGAGUCGAUGAAAGAUUUCCUGUGAGAAGAAUUUCUCACCAUUGAAGAAUAUAUAGAAUAGUUUGUAUAUCUUCCUUGUCUAAUGGAGAGAAGUGUAGUGGUUGAUGGGUUCUUUUGUUUCACAGUGCCUGUAAAUUUGGGGAAUAUUUGAUUUCCAUCAAACGGUGAUGAUAAAGAUAGCUGGUAAGUGGUGGAAUUGAUAUCAGCGUAAGAGCAGAUAAGGUGAGUGAAGAGAUCAUAAUUUAUGCCCGAAAUGGUGGACACUUCGCUUGGAUCCAAGUAGCCGACCCUGAUCCACGGUUUUGCUUUCGCGGGAUGAAAUUCUGAAUAGAACAACAUGUGGAAGAUGAUGCUGAUAAUUAUGGAUGCCAUUUGAGAGGCUUAUGCUUCUUAAUUACCACUUCGAUGGGAAUGGAAAUGAAUGCACACUAAUAGAAAUUAAAUAAACACAAGUUUCACAGUUCAUUAAGCUCUCAUGUGUACUAUUAACGUAUAGGUUCAUUUCGUUGCCCAAAAAAAUCUUAUGUGCUCCUGAUAGGGACACAUACAUUGGAUGAUAAGAUGAUGAUAGGCGAUGCGACCAUUGCCCAAGAACUAAGAUUUUCUUCUAUCGCGUGGGUGACUUUUCAUGAAGAAAAAUGAUGUUUUGAUUGACAUAUGGUUAAACCGAUGCCAUAUUUCGGGCUACAAAUAUCAGUAUUGUUUUAUUAAAUAAUUAAAAAAAUUAAUUUUACGUGCAUGUUGAAGGUAAUAUUGCAGUCUUUUGAGCCUGUGUUGAAUUUCAUUCGUGUGCGUUCAUUUAUUAUCUAUCCUCUUUUUUCUCUGUGUGUCUGCUAGCUCUAGUCAUCUUAAAAGAAUAACAUGUUUAAUUAAUGCAUGUAAAUGCACCGCAAAAGUAGUUAAGAAAGACUUGAUCAAAGAUCAGACAUUUUCUCUCUACUCAAAAAGUAGUUAUUGGACUAAUUAAGAUUCUAAUCCCUUUAAGAAAUAUUGAAAAAGGGUUACUGUCACUACUUCAGUCCUUGUUGUUACAUAUAUAUAUAUAUAUAUAUAUAUAUAUAAAUUUAAAGAAGCAUCACAUAAAUCCUUCCUAAUUAUAUUUUGUUUCAUUCAAGUUGUUGACUUAAUUUGUCUGCUUGGAAAAAUUAGUAAAAAGGUAAAAAUAAAAAAAUGUAAAUUCUACUUAUUAGACUAAAUAUAUAGUAUAAAUUUGCAGCAACCAGCAAAAGUUUGGAAUAUGAAAAAUCCUAUUAAUUUUUAAAAAAUCUCCGAAAGUUUGAAAACUAAUAUUUUAAGGUCCUUUUACAAUAACCAUAAUUAACAUGAAUUUACUAAAUUAGGCAAACCCGAAUUACUACCAUAUAAUAAAAUUUUAUAACAGAAAUAAGAAAACAAAACAAAUAGCAUCAAAUCUUAUAUCUAAAAAAAAAUCUUGAAAUAAAUAGAAAAAAUAAGAAAAUAACUAAAACUUGCAAAAUGACCAUGAAAGAAAUGAAAUUUCCGACUGAACCAAAGGGCCAAUACACAUAGCAUUAUUGGACUAGAUCUAUCAUGGUGCAAACUUCAAAACAGUAUAUUAUAUUUUCUAAAUGGACACAUAUAGGUUAAGUUAUGAUAUUAAAAAAUAUCCUAUUCAUCUUACACAACCAUUCUAUGUCACUAUAUCUAUACACUAAUAAUAUAACCCAAACAUUUAUGGAGCAUAACUCACAGACCUCCACUAAUUACACUAAAGUUUACUCUCAUUUUAUAAGAGAGAGAAAUGUUCUCGUUCUCCAUUUAUGGGGGAUUAAACCAAAUGGUCUGUUUUUGAUUUUCUGGUAAGUUGUGUAACGUUGGAGCUUUUUGGCACUUCUUUGACGAAAAGUCGUUCUCUUCGACAACCCAAAAUUCGGGCCAAUGGGCAAUUAUGAAAGUCCAUUGGAUGCAUUGGACCAAACUAAAAGUCCAUAUAUAUAUGUAUAUAUAUAUAUAUAUUCAAUAAAUGAAAUGAAAAAAUGCAAUUGGCUUGCAGUUGCAAAGCUUCUUUGUUUAUUAUUAUAUAAUAUAAUAUAAUAUAAUUUUAUAUCAUUUUGAAUAUCAAAAUUUUAUUUCAAAAUUUAUUUAACACUAGUGUUUAAUAUAAGAUACAAUACUACCAAAAUUCUAUUCAAUAGUUUAUUUAAAAUAGUAUUGACUAUUAAAAAUAAGAAUUUACACUAAUAUUAAAUAUUAAAUUCAACAAUUAGUAACAUUAUUUAAAAUAAUUAUAGUAUUUAAAUGGUUAUUUAUCUUUAUUAAAUAAGAUUUAACAUAAUCCUCUGCGACAUUUUACUAAAUAAAUACAGUACUAUAUAUAAUCCAAUCUAAUCUUAAACAAUAAUCUAUUCUAUUCCUACCUUCCAAAUAUAAACACAAUAGAUAAUGAGAGCAUGAGCUAUGAGAUUAUAAAUCAUGGAUCAAGGGAGUAGAGAUACAGACCUUGAGAUCAUAGAUCGUAGACUAUUAGAGACUAAAGACCGUGGACAAAUCCGAGUACAUUAAAAAAAGGGGAAUUUUAGUCAAAUGUAGAUUGAUAUUAAGGAAUUCAGCAAGCAAGCUACAAGAAUAUCCAAAAGCGUGUAAUUUAUGUUUAAGGAAACAAGUGGAGAUAGAGAUGAAAUUGUAAAUUCAUCCCAAUCUUAAGUGGCUUAAUUCAAGAUGUAUGUUACCUACAAGCACAAUAAUAUGUACACGUUAUGUAUACAUGCAUCACAUACGUGCGUCGAUCAUCGAUGUAAAAGUAACAGUAAAUUUCUAGUAAAACAAACAUCAUUACUUUUAGUAUAAGAUGUAAAAAAUAUCAAUUAAUAACCAUUAGAAAAUAAAAAUUUAUGUAAUUGAUGCAGAUAAAUGGAAUCAAGUAGUAACAUUUCCUUCUCAUUGAAGAGAAAAGAUUAAAAAAAAGAAAAGGGGGGGGGGGGGGGGGGGGGAGGAGCGCAAACAUGACAAUUAUUUUUAUCCGCACGUGCCAUGAUAAUCGAUAAUCCGAUAUACCAACCGCGUCUAAUUGUCUGAAUUCUCAAGCUUAUCAAGCUUGCUCAAUCGCACCGCAGACACUGACCAUGGGAGAUUAAUCACCACUCGCAGUAUUAGGCGCGUGAAGGACACAUUCGCCAAUAAUUUAUAGCGGACAGUAGCAUUCCCGAUGCUGCGCGGAGAAAAAUAGUUGGGCUUGCGAAAGUUAAAUUGACUUGACUCGACAGAGUGAAGAAUGGUGGUGGUUGCUGUUAAGCAGUCGGUACUUCUGGCGACUGCUUGGCUUACACGCAGUUCCCGGGGGUGUCAUUUGACUGUGAAAGAGAAUUUUGGCUUUAUUGAUAUCUUGUUGGAUUUGGAAUUUUGGAUGGCUUCGUGUAGACCAUAAGACACGAUAUCGUUCAUAACACGUUAGCAUUCUUUCUCACGGGAGAAAAACUCGGGUGGGAGCAGAUGUACCAUCUCAACUGCCGUUUAUAAAUGGCUGUCAAAUAAUUAAUCAAAAUUUUAUUAUUUACGGUUAUAAUUGGAAUGAUAAAAAAUCAAUUCGAUGUUAUUCUUUGUGGCUCUGCUUAGAAUACUAAAAAAUCAAAUCGACUUAUUUAUUUUUAUAUUGAUCAUUACAAGUCUCUUGAAUUUUUUACCUACUUCAUUAACUUGUUAUUUUGAGUUGUACGUAACAUGGCUUUUUUUGUUUUUUACUUUACUUUGGUUUUCUUUAUAACCCAUAAAAAUUUUCUUGUUAAGACUGUGUGAACCAAUUGAAACUUCAGAUUCAUACUAGAACUAUGAUGAUUUGAUAAGAGCUUCAAAUUAAAUCCACAGAUUCUAUGAAAAGAAAAGAAAAGAAAAAGUCUUUUAUUGGUAAAAGAAGAAAGCUCUUCGGCACUGAUCCGAAGAAAAAUCAUUCUCCAUACAAUGAGCAAAACAAAGUCCAAUUCGCAUUACAUAGAAGUAAAACCGAAGCAUUGGACUAAAAGCAUACAUUAGUCUUAUUUUUCGUUACUGAUAACAUUUUUUUUCCCUUAUAUUAUCACCUUAAUUAAGAAAAAUAAUAAUUUGUUUAACUAAUUACAAAAAAGGAUGGCUAUAUACAAUAUUCUUGUGUUGGAUGGCCUUAAAAGUCAAUUCUUUUGAAACAGGAAAACUGGUAUCGUUUUUCAAAACACAAAAAUAUUAUGUUAAGAAAAUGAAUGGUCUUUAAGAGUUAUGACAAUGAUAUCAAUAAAAUUACAAAAUCUUAAGAGUUUAUAGAUGUAGUUAGUGAUAUUACAUUACAUUAAUUAAUACAAUGCAAAUUGUUUACUAAUAGAGCCUCAGGAGAGUGAUUCAUUAUUUAGUUGGCCAAUUAAACAACUGCAGCAGUCACUAGCAGCUUGCCAAGAGCUAGCAUAGAUCAAUUGUUCAUCUACCAACCAAUUUUGAAAUUGUUACAUCAUUACUUGAACAUAUUUCCAAUCCAAUCGUGGCUUUGUUUUGUUCAUCUUCAUAAGCUUUGUUUGAGAAACUUGCAGGCUUCUUUGGAGUCAUUAUAUCAGCUGUAUUUUCAUUUUCGAUCAACGAAGAAAUUUCUAGUAUAGAAGGUCUAUUGUUUGGGUUCUCCUGAACACAUAGCAAAGCUACUUGCAGACAUGUCAAUAAUUUCCAUGAGGAAUGCGUAUCAUCUAGUGAUGGAUCCAUUAACUCCGUGCCUUUCCCAUCCUUCCACAACUCGUAUGCCUGAAAACAUCAAAUAUGUUAUUGACUAACAUUCAAUUAAUUAGCACUGUAAUGUUUUGAUUCAGUGAAUAUUAAAAAGGGGGUUAUGAAGAAACUUACAUACUCUACAAGGCUUAGAUUUUCAUUUUGACCAUAUCGAAUGAAAAGUCUUCGCCCACUUAUAAUUUGCAGAAGCAAAACCCCAAAACUGUAGACAUCAGAUUUAGUGGAGUAGAUGCCUCUUCCGACAUAUUCAGGAGGGAUAUAGCCUCUGUAGUAUCAAGUAAUUAUAAAUGUCAGUGUUUGACAUAAAAGAUUAAGUUGAUUGGUAAAGGUUCAACAAUAAUAUUAAAGGCAUGUCAGACAAUAAUAGACAAAUAUACACUUACUGUGUUCCAACAAUUCGAUUUGUGUUUGCUUCAAGAUCAUCUUUCACAAAAAUUCUAGCCAAGCCAAAAUAUGAUAUUUUAGGUGUCAAAUCUUCAUCCAACAAAAUAUUACUAACUUUUAAGUCUCGAUGAAUAAUUGUUAAUCUAGAAUAUUCUUGGAGAUAGAGAAGCCCCUGAAUAAUUCCUUAAAUGAUAUAAAUACGUUUUUUCAAAUCCAAAAUAAGCCUUCGGAUGGGAUCUGCAUCAAAUGUAAACUUAGUUGGACGGUCAGCACCAUUAGCAUUUGGAGACAGAGAAAUGCAAAUUGAGGCACAAAAAUUAGAAAUUAAGCAGUUAAGCACACACCAAAAAGGAAAUAGUCUAAGCUUCGUUUUGGCAUAUACUCAUAGAUGAGCAUAUAUUCUUGCGUGUCGAUGCAAAAACCCAAAACUCUGAUCAAAUUUAUGUGUUGAAGCUUUGCAGUAAGCAUAACCUCAUUCUUGAACUCCUCAAAUCCUUGUGUGGAUGUCUUCGAGAGUUUCUUCACUACUAUUAUUUGUCCAUCAGGUAAUGCACCCUGCAAGCACCCCCCAAAAUAUAUGUUUUUUUAAAAAUCAGUGUGUUCACACACACACACACGUAGCUUGCACUAAUUAAUUAAUAAGCUAAGAGAUAACCAAGCUACCGAUACAUAACCUUGUAAACAGGACCAUAUCCACCCUCCCCGAGCUUAUUUUCGAUUGAAAAUCUAUCCGUGGCCACCUCAAUAUCAGCCAAGCUAUAUUCUCUCAGAUCAGGAUCAUUGCUGUUAAAAUCUCCAGCAUCUGCUUGACUAUUUUCGCUGUCCUUUGAUGCUUUGGCUGAGUCAAUUACGGUCCAAUUAAUAUCAACCAAGAGAAAGAAAGCUAAUUUAAGUGAAUUGCCCACUUCUUCAUCUGUGUUAAAUGGAAUAGAAGUAAAAAUAUUCCUAAUCCCGUGUAGAAGAAGUUACCUUUUAAUUUGAGGUUUUUCAUCCAGCAGUAGUAAUACAGUAAAAAACCAAUUAGAAGAAUACAAGCUGCCGUUAUAGGGAAAACAAUUGCCCAUAAUAGUCGCUUAUUUUGUCGAUUCUUAUUUUCCUCUUGAGCUGAAAAGUCAAAUCACUUUGUGUUAGUUAAACAUUUGAUGGUCAAAUAAAGAUCUUAAUUGAAGUCAUUAUGCAGAGAACUGAUCAAAUGGAUAGCAGGCAGUGACUGAGGCUUUGCAUUUGCUUACCUGCAGCUUGAGAAAGCAUCCAAUAAUGAUCAUAGGAAACUAGCCACACAAAGUAACCACGUAGUUUCUUCUCCUUGGCAUAUGAAACCUUCACUCUAACGGCUUCGACAUCAUCAAAACCAAACCAAAUCUUCCCAAUCGAGAAGUAAUUCAUCACAUAAGUUGAAUUGUACAUAACUUGAACGUUAGGACCAUAGUGCUUGAUGCGAUUCUUGAUUUCCUUAUAAGUCACAAGGCCGCUAGAAUACAAAGCUGGUCCUGUUGCUGCUGCACCAAUACCGUUGUCCUCAGGUUUCACAAGCGUCCAUGCAUAGCCAUAGAAAGGUAAACAUAAAACCAAUUUAUCAGCCGAUAACCCUUCCUCAAUCCAUUCCGUGAUUCCGUAUUCAGUAUUGGAGAUACUAUUUGGAUCAUACAGAGCCGCGUGAGCACCAGUAAAAUUUGACCACAUAGGUUUUGUGUAUUCAGUAGUCAAAACAUGAACCCAAUUCAAGUAUUGACUUAUCGAGUCGACUGGGUAAGCUCCUGCUCUUGAGAAUGGUGAAUAUGCGACCAUUGCCGUCAAAAUCAACUGUGAUUGGCUCGAGUUAUUUCUUGCUUCUAAAUCUACGGCUGCUCGCCACUCUUUAAAGAGAAUGCCAAUAUUGUACUUAUCCCAGCUUGUGUUUGCCUGAGGCCAAGAGAGAUCUAAGCCUUGAAAGCCAUAAAGUCUUCCUAUUUUUAUUGAGGAGUCAAUGAAGGAUUUCCUAGAAGAAGGAUUGCUCGCCAUGGAAGAAUAAGUUGAAUAGUUUGCAUCAUUUCCUCCGAUGGAAAGAAGUGUAGUGAUUGAUGGGUUCUUUAUUUUGACAGUGUCAGUGAAGUUAGAGAAUUGUUUUUCAUCAGAAGGUGAUAAAGAAAGCUCAUAGGAAGUUGAAUUCGUUGAAACAAAAACAAACGUUAUGCCUUUGAUCGUGCAUUUCCAAAUAAACACAUAUUUUAGGUAAUUCCGAAAUUUACCACGAUCUCCCAUGAAUCCGAACUUGCAGCUUGUUAUGGAGCUUCAACAGAGUUGCUGCUGCUUCGGUCUAGCUUCUGAAUUCCGCUUUCUUUUCCUUCAGCUCCAGAUUCGGCUUUUCUCAGUAAGUUACUGUACACACACGGGAGAGAAACGGGAGAGAGAGAGAUGCACUGCACUCAUGCCAGAGAUUUCUUGAACAGUCAACUUCCAAUGGGCUGAAGUUACUUAAAUACAGUGGUUGAGCGCAGGGAACCCUCAUGUGUUAGUACAAAAUUACCCAUCCCAUUAUGGGCUUAAAUAACACAAUUAAGGAUAUACUUGUCCAUAAUAUACUACUGUACAGGGUAUGUCAAAAUUAGACUCAUUAACACCAUAUUUGAUCACUUAAUAAAUGAGUCUGUCAAAAUUGCUCAACAAUAUUUGACUUUAGUCACGUAUUAAUUCGGUAAAAUAUAGAAAAUAAUUAGAAUGAUUUAUGUCAGUCCACAUAAUGUGAGAAAUAAAUCUAACAGAAUUGACAUUAGCAAAACCACAUAUAAGGUGAGUGAAAAGAGCAGAAUUUACAUCUGAAACGGGGAACCCGUUGCCUGAAUCCCAGUAACCAGCUCUGAUUAAAGUUUGUGUUCCUGCAGGAAGCGAUUCUGAAAAUAUAAAAAUGUGGAGGACAAGAAUGAUAAUUUUGGAUGCCAUUGUGGGAACCUAGCUGCUUUGAGGCAUACCUAGUAAGUGAUUACAUAUAUAUGUACACACACAAUGUAAUGGAGAAAAUAUCCGAUAGCGAUUGAGAUUAGUUAUUGGACUAUAAUACAAACCUGAGGCAACUUUCAGCUCAUGAGCUUAUCUCAUAGGUCUUUAUACGAUAUCAAAGUCAAGUUACGAACGAGUGAUUCUAUACUACCUUUUAAUUUAACAAGGAGAAAGAUAAGAGAUCAACCUACACGUGACAGGGUGAUAGAAAAAAUUUAUCACAUUAGCUAAGAUUAAUUACUAUGUUAAUGAUAUAAGCUCAAAACAACACUCAACUCAAUAACAAGUUGUAAUUUAAUAAAGUUAGGUCAACUCGAUAUUUUAUAGAGUAUGUCGUGAGUGAGGAGGAGUUUAAGCAACAAAUCGAGCUCAUGAGUGAGGACACGUUUGAUUUUCACAAGAUUUUGCGUUUUGUGCACGUUGGUCAUGGACUGAAUCAACUUAGAAAAUAUUUUCACAAGAUUUUGCCUUCCAAUUGCAUGGAUGGAGUUAUAGAGGAAUACAUCGAAAAGUUCGUCUUCUUGCCAUGAUGAUAAGUGAAAAGAUUGAGGUUCUUAAAUUAAGCUAUGACCUUUUACCUCCACUUAGCUUGACUUUUGAAGCUGAAGACUCGUUCUUUUGUAUUGACUUUGUUGGUAUUUAAAUGACCUCGGAGUCUUGGACGUGUUUCUGAAGCAAUGUCAUGGUCUAUGAGUAGAUUUUUUUUUUUGGGUAAGAAAGGGAAAGUCUGUCGUUGGGAAAACAUCCUGACAACGGGAUGGUGGGAGGGAAAAAAAAAAAAAAAUUAUACACUUAGGGUCUGUUUGGAAAAAUGAUUAUAGGGUAUUAUAAUACUAUUCAUAUUGACUUAAUAUCAAUACUAUUCACAUCGAGUUUAGCUUAAUGUGGUAGUUGCCGCAUUAACGUUUUGCUUUUGUUUUUUUUUUUUUACUUUUGCUUUUUAAUAAUAAUAAAUAAUUAUAACUUUUUAAUUUAAUAUAUUAUUAUAUAAUAUCAAUUAUUAUUUUUUAUUUUUACCUCAAAAUUAUUAAAAUAAAUUAAUAAUUUUAUAAUUUAUUAUUCAUAUUUUAAUUUUUAUUAUAUUAAAAAUAUAACUAAAUAAUGUAUUAUUUAAUUAUAUAAUAAUUAAUAUAUAAAAUUAAUUAAUAUUUAAUAAGUUAAUAUAACUAACAAUAAGUACUUAAAUAAUAUAUAAAAAUUGAUUAUUAUUUAGAAAUUUAAUAUAACUAACAAUAAAUAUUUAUAUAUGAAUAAAUUUAAAUAAUAUUAAUUUAAAAUUAAUAUCAACAAAAAUAAUAACGUAAAAUAUCAUUAUGUUAUGAUAUUAUUUAGAGAUUAUUUGAUUAAAUUAUUUACUUCGAUCUUUAUUUCACAUGUUAUAUAUUUAGAAAAUACUGAAAAAUAAAUGUUAUGCUGCCGAAAAUAUAAGGCUAUAAGUUUCGAUCUUUACAAAAAAUUGUGAUGCUUUUUAACAUUUAUACUAAAAAAUAAUGUUAAAUUUCUAAAAUUUAAGACUUAUAUAUUUAGUAGUUUUCUAGGUACUAUAAAUAUUAUUUCCUAAAUAUAUAAUUUAAGUUAAUCACAAAAAAUUAAUACAAUAUAGUGUAGCAUCAAACGUUGUAUAACAUUAUUAUAAUAUAGUGCUAAUACAAUACAGCAUAAUGCAAUACACAUCCAUUAAAAUAAUAUAACAUAGUGUGCUAAACUCACCAUUAAUUACUUCCUAAUGUUAAAAUUCAGUAGUAUUGUAAUUUUAAUAAAAAAUUGAGACCCUUUUAUCAUUUAGAUGUAAUAUACUUACAUUGUUCCCACAACUUGUUUUGUAUUCGCUUCGAGACUCUUUUGCAAAAAUCCUAACCAUACCAAAAUCUGAAAUUUUAGGUUUCAUAUCUUGACCUAACAAAAUAUUACUAGCUUUCAAAUCUCGAUGGAUAAUAGUCAGUCUUGAGUAUUCUUUGAGGUAUAAAAACCUUUGAGUCAUCCCUUCAAUGAUAUGAACACGUUUUUUCCAAUCCAAAAUAAACCUUCUGAUGGGAUCUACAACAGAUAUAUAGUUUUAGACAAUAAGUGAUAUGCAAAUGAAUUAUAUACACAAUUAAUAUUAACUUGAUUUCAGAACAAACCAAAAAGGUAGCAAUCCAAGCUUUGUUUGGCAUGUACUCGUAGACUAGCAUUCGUUCCUCACUGUCAAUGCAAAAACCUAAAACUCUAAUAAGAUUUACAUGUUGGAGUUUUGCAGUAAGUAUAAUCUCAUUCUUAAACUCCUCAAAUCCCUGUGUGGAUGCUUUCGAAAGUUUCUUCAUUGCUAUCACCUCUCCGCAGGGUAGUAUACCCUGCAACCAAAAAACAAAUGUUCAUAUAAAGCUUGCACUAAUUAAAUAAGUUGAGAAAUGUUUGCCAAACAAUAUGUUUCCCUCCAAAGUUGAGGGCACCAUUUUAAGUCCUUUAAGUCCCCAUAGACGCAUGAAUCUCCUCUCAGAAAAUAUGGAUAUGGGUAGACAUAUCUUCCUAAAUAUUAGUAGAAGUAGUUAUAUCUCUCUAGUGCGAGGUCAGAGGUCUCAUGUCUAAUAGGUAUAGAUUUUUAAAUUAUAUGUUUUGGGCCUCUGAAUUUUACUCUAAGUGUAUGAAUUCAAAGUUCCGACAGAAUCCAAAUUGUAACAUUUGUGGAUUUUGUGUGUGUGUGUGUGUUAACUUGUAAACAGGACCAUAUCCACCUUCCCCUAGCUUAUUUCUAACUGAAAAUCCCUCGGUGGCCGCCUCAAUAUCAGCCAAACUAUAUACUCUGAGGUUAGGAACAUUUCUGUUAAAGUCUCCAGCUUCUGCUUCAUCAUUUGCUCUCGUGUUUGACGCUUUAGCAGAGUCCUCUGUUCCUAACAUCAACCAAGAGUAAAUAUUAGAUAAUUAAUUAAAUUUCAGUCUCAGUUACAUGUAUAUGAGUGAAAUACAUACUUAAUUAUAAUUAAUAACUGAAACUUGUUACCUUCAAUUAAGUUGAGCCUUUUCAUCCUGUUGUAUUUAUAUGCACAAAAGCCUAGAAGGAGAGUCAAAGCUGCCGCAGCAGUCGAAAUGAGGACCAAGGACAGACGCCGGUUAUUACUAUGUUCAUCUUUGUCAGCUGAAGCAGAAGUAAUCCUGUCUUUUUGUGCUGGAAAUAUGUAUAGUUCACCAAUUAAUAAUAACUAGCUAGAGAUGCCAUAACAAUCAUUAUUAAUCAGAGAGAACAAUUAUUGCAUAGAUAAAUACCUGCAGCUUGAGAAAGCACCCAAUUAUGAUCAUCAUAAUCCACUCGCCACACAUAGUAACCAAGCAAUCUCUUCUCUUUGGCAUAGGCGAUCUUAGCUCUAACAGCCUCCACAUCAUCAAAACCAAACCAAACCGCCCCAGUGGAGAAGUAAUUCACCACAUAAGUUGAAUUGUACAUAACUUGAACAUUAGGAGCAUAGUUCUUGAUGUGAUUCUUGAUAGUCCUAUAGGUCACAAGGCCAUCAUUAGUCAAAGCUGGUCCUGCUGCUGCUGCUCCAAUACCAUUGUCUUCAGGUUUCACAAGCCUCCAUGCAUAGCCAUAGAAAGGCAAAGACAUAGCCAACUUAUCAGCCGAUAGCCCUCUCUCAAUCCAUGCCUUUAAAACCUGAUCGGUACUUUUAGCAAAGCCGCCGCUACUUGAGCCAUGGAGAGCCGCAGGUGGCGCAGUGAAGUUUGUUGACAAAGGCUCGUAGUAGUGUUCAGUAGCAACAUGAACCCAAUUCAAGUUUCGUUGCAUCGAAUUCACAAGGUACGAAUUGUCUGGUGGUGAAUAAUGAAACCUUGCGGUCAGGAUCAGCUGGGAUUGCUGGCGGUUAGAGCUUUUUGCCUCUAAUUUUGUGGCAGCAGCUCGCCACUCGUCGAAAAGUAAACCAAUAUUGAGCAUAUCGGUGCUUGUGUUAGGAGAUGUCCAAGCAAAGUCUAGGCCCUUAAAGCCAUAAAGCCUAGCUAUUCUUAUUGAAGAGUCGAUGAAAGAUUUCCUGUGAGAAGAAUUUCUCACCAUUGAAGAAUAUAUAGAAUAGUUUGUAUUUCUUCCUUGUCCAAUGGAGAGAAGUGCAGUGAUUGAUGGGUUCUUUUGUUUCAUUUGUUUCACAGUGCCUGUAAAUUUGGGGAAUAUUUGAUUUCCAUCAAAUGGUGAUGAUAAAGAUAGCUGGUAUGUGGUGGAAUUGAUAUCAGCAGAAGAGCAAAUAAGGUGAGUGAAGAGAUCAUAAUUUAUGCCCGAAAUGGCGGAAACAUCGCCUGAAUACAAGUAACCGACCCUGAUCCACGGUUUUGCUUUCGCGGGAUGAAAUUCUGAAUAGAAAAACAUGUGGAAGAUGAUGCUGAUAAUUAUGGAUGCCAUUUGAGAGGCUUAAGCUUCUUAAUUAUUACCACUUCGAAGGGAAUGGAAAUGAAUGCACACUAAGAGAAAUUAAAUAAACACAAGUUUCACAGUUCAUUAAGUUCUUAUGUGUACUAUUAACGUAUAGGUUCAUUUCGUUGCCCAAAAAAAAUCUUAUGUACUCCUGAUAGGGACACACACAUUGCAUGUUAAGAUGAUGAUAGGCGAUGCGACCAUUGCCUAAGAACUAAGAUUUUCUUCUAUCGCCUGGGUGACUUUUCAUGAAGAAAAAUAAUGUUUUGAUUGACAUUUGGUUAAACUGAUGACAUAUUUCGGGCUACAAAUAUCAGUAUUGUUUUAUUAAAUAAUAAAAAUAAUAAUUUUACGUGCAUGUUGAAGGUUAUAUUGCAGUCUUUUGAGCCUGUGUUGAAUUUCAUUCGUGUGCGUUCAUUUAUUAUCCAUCCCCUUUUUUCUCUGAGUCUGCUAGCCGUAGUCAUCUUAAAAGGAUAACAUGUUUAAUGCGUGUAAAUGCACCUCAUAAGUAGUUAAGAAAGAUUUGACCAAACCAGAUAAUUUUCCUCUUAACACAGAAGUAGUUAUCGGACUAAUUAAGAUUCUAAUCCAUUUAAGAAAUAUUCAAAAAGGGUUAUUGUCACUACUUUAGUCCUUGUUGUUUUAUUAAAGAAAAAAAAAAGAUAUUUAAAGAAGCAUCACAUAAAUCCUUCCUAAUUACAUUUUGUUUCAUUCAAGUUCUUGACUUAAUUUGACUGCUUGGAAAAAUUAGUAAAAAGGUAAAAAUGAAAAAAAAAAUGUAAAUUCCAGUUAUUAGACUAAAUAUAUAUAAAUUUGCAACAAGUAGCAAAAGUUUAGAAUAUGAAAAACCCUAUUUUGUUUACGAAAUAAAGGAAAUUCGAAUCAUUUUCAAAAAAAAAAUCUCUAAAAGUUUGAAAACUAAGAUUUUAAGGUCCUUCUAGACUAACCAUAAAUAACAUGAAUUUACCAAAUUAAGCAAACUCGAAUUAUUAUUACACAAUAAAAUUUUACUAAUGGAAAUAAGAAAACAAAAUAAAUAACACUCAAAUUCGAUGUCUAAAAAACAAAGAUAAAAAUCAUGAGAGCAAUAGAAAAAAAAUAAAAUAAACUAAAACUUGCAAAAUGACCAUGAAAGAAAUAAAUUUUUUUGCUGAACCAAGGGGCCGAUACAUAUAGCCUUAUUGUACUAGAUUCAUCUCACUGCAAGUUUCAAAACAAUAUAUUAUAUGUCUUAAACAAACUCUUGUAAAUUAAGUUAUGACCUUAAAAAAUAUCCUACUCAUCUUACAUAAAUAUCCUAUGUCACUAUAUAGCUAUACAAUAAUAAUAUAAUCCAAACACUUAUGGAGCAUAACUCACGCACCUCCAUUAAUAACCGUGAAAUUUACUCACAUUUUAUAAGAGAGAGGAAUGUUCUCAUUUAUUGGGGAUUAAACCAAAUAGUCUAUCUUCGAUAUUUCUGCUAGGUUGUGUCAGGUUGGGCUUUUUAGAAUUUCUUUGACGAAAAGUCAUUCUCUUCAACAGCCAAAUCUUGGGCCAGUGGGCAAUUAUGAAAGUCCAUUGGAUGCAUUGGACCAAACUAAACGUACAAUUUUUUUUUUCUUACAAAAAAAAAAUUAGAGUUGGACUAUUGACACCCCUCUCAUCUCCUCAUAAAACCCCCUUUUUAGUUAUAUUUAUUUUAUUUUAGAAAAUGCCCUUUUUUAGAUACACGUUUCUAAGUUUUUAAUUUUCAUUUGAUUUGUUUUAUUGUUAAAACUCAAAGUAUUAUUGUGUUAUUUUUUAAUUAUUUUCAAUUUUAUUAUUAAUCUACAUACAAAUUAAAAAUUUAUAUGGGUGAUAAGUUUUUUAGUGUUAAUCAUUGGUUGAAAUAACACAUAUUUCAAAUUAUAAUUUCAAAGCAAUUUUAAGUAUAAAAAUAUUUAAUCAAUAAGAAAUCAAAAGAGAAUAAUAGAUUAUUCUAAAUUUGUACAAUUUAUUUUAGUUAAAUAGGAAGUAAAAUAUAAAUUUUUUUAAAAAAUGAUUGAUUAUGAAUUAAGUAAUUUGCUGGGAAAAAAAAUCUAUAUAUGUUUAAUUUUCAAUUGUCUUUAAUUGUAAUUUUAUUUAAAGUGGUGUUUUGUAAGAAUAAUGUAGGGGUGCCAAUAGCUCCACUCAAAAAAUUAUAUCUAUAUAUUCUCUUCAACAACCUAAAACUGGGCCAAUGGGCAAUUAUGAAGUCCAUUGGAUGUAUUGCACCAAACUAAAAGUCCAAUUUUUUUUAUUACUACAAUAUAUAUAUAUAUAUAUAGUAGUUUUCUAAUUAGGGAUUCCUGACUUUAAUAAAGUCAUGGAUCAGCUAAAAGACAAAUAUACAGUGCAUUGGAGUCUGUGUUUAUUUUGUCUUUUAGCUAAUUCCUGAUUUUAUUAAAGUCAGGGAUCCCUGAUUGGAAAACUACUAUAUAUAUAUAUAAACAAAUGUUUUAAUUUAGAAUUUUAAAGUGCGGGAUAGUAUAUAUAUAUAUAUAUAUAAACAAAUGUUUUAAUUUAGAAUUUUAAAGUGCGGGAUAGUCUGGAAUAUGCAGUUUUAAAAACUUAAAACUGUAAGCCUUUAAAACCAUACAAUUUUAAAUUUUUCUCAAAUUUUCUCGUACUUUAAAAUUUCAUACUAAAAAACUACUACAUAUAUCAAUAAAUGAAAUGACACAAUACAGUUGGCUUGCCGUUGCAAAGCCUCUUUGUUUGUUAUUAUUUAUUGGCUUAUUGCAAUAAAGACUAAAGAGAGCUUUGAGCCAUGCAGCAUGGGAAGCUACAUUAAAAAAUAAAAGAAUUUAAAGCUUCAAGGGCAUAAAGCGUGCCCACCCAAUUAAAUUUUUCUUUAAAAAAGAAAAAAAAAGGCUGCAAUUGCAAUGACUUGAAUUUAUCAUCAAUUCUGGCUUAAUUUGCCCCCGUCAUUUUUUCAAGGAGAAUGUCCAACUCAAUUGUGACGGCUACUGCUUCAAUUUUAAUUUUAUUUUUCUCAAGAAUAGUCAUUUUCAUCCACCAUAUUCCUGCAUCCUGAUGCGUCCUUAUUGCUUAUAUUAUUAUAGACCACUUUUGGAAGCAUAACAAAUUUUGCACACAUGGUAUCCAUCUUGCGGACCCAAAUGUUGAUGAUAUACUUGCAUGCUGCAAAAUAAGCCCUUUUAAUAACUUAUCAUCUGGUAAAUGAUAGUUUAUUUAUUUAUUACAUAACAAAUAUGUUAUGCCAUAUGCCACCUAUUAGUGAAAGAUGUUUAAAUAACUACUCUUGUAGUAAACUCCUGAAUGAUGGCAAGUUAGAUUUAUACUUAAUGCACUAACUUCGAUAUUAUUUUUUUUUUACAUGGUAAUUAUUUUCUUCUCGCUAGGAAGUUGCAAUGAUUGAUAAUAAGGGAGCAUUUUGCUUUAUAUACAAUCCUUAAUAGAAGAUUUUCUAGAGAUGUUUAUUAUUAUUAUUAUUAUUAUUAAUCCCGCGUUGGUCAGGAUUUGAUUACUAUAAUAUUGACGAUUCGAUUUCUAACAAUUUUGUUUAUUAUAAAAUUAAAACAAAUGAGUAGUCAUCUAGAAAAUCAUAAUCUCUUUAAAGGCAUCAAAAGGCAAUGGCAAUGUAAAGUGAAUGUGCAUGAAUCUAUUAGUAACAUGUUUGCACGUGUAUUAAUCUUAAAAUAGUCAGUCUUGAAUAUUCCUGGAGGUAUAAAAGCCCUUGAGUUAUCCCUUCAAUGAUAUGAACACGUUUUUUCCAAUCCAAAAUAAGUCUUCUGAUGGGAUCUACAACAAAUAUAUAGUUUUGGACAAUAAGUGAUAUGCAAAUGAAUUUUAUACACAAUUAAUAUUAACUUGAUUUCAGAACAAACCAAAAAGGUAGCAAUCCAAGCUUUUGUUUGGCAUGUAUUCGUAGACCAGCAUCCGUUCCUCACUGUCAAUGCAAAAACCUAAAACUCUAAUAAGAUUUACAUGUUGGAGUUUUGCAGUAAGAAUAACCUCAUUCUUAAACUCCUCAAAUCCCUGUGCGGAUGAUUUCGAAAGUUUCUUCACUGCUAUCACCACUCCACAGGGUAAUACACCCUGCAACCCAAAAAAAAAACCACGUUCAUAUAAAGCUUUCACUAAUUAGAGACGCUGAGAAAUGUUAGCCAAACAAUAUGCUACCCCCCAAAGUUGAGGGCACCAUUUUAAGUCCUUUAAGUCCCCAUGGACGCAAAAUGUAAAUCUCCUCUCACAGAAUAUGGAUAUGGGUAGAGGUAUCUUCCUCAAAUGUUAGUCGAAGUAGUUAUAUCCCUCUAGUGUGAGGUUAGAGGUCUCAUCUCUAAUAGGCAUAGAGUUUUAAAUUAUAUGUUUUGGGCCUCUGAAUUCUACGACGAGUGUACAAAUUCAAACUUCCGAUAGGAUCCAAAUUGCAACAUUGUGGAUUGUAACAAAUUAAAAUAUAGGUACACACACACACACAUGUUACCUUGUAAACAGGACCAUAUCCACCCUCCCCAAGGUUAUUUCUAAUUGAAAAUCCCUCGGUGGCCGCCUCAAUAUCAGCCAAACUAUAUACUCUGAGAUUAGGAACAUUUCUGUUAAAGUCUCCAGCUUCUGUUUCAUUAUUUUCUCUCGUGUUUGAUGCUUUAGCAGAAUCCUCUGUUCCUAACAUCAACCAAGAGUAAAUAUUAGAUAAUUAAUUGUAUGUCAGCCUAAGUUUUAUAUAUAUAUGAAAUGCAUGCUUAAUUAUAAUUGGUAGCUGAAGCUUGUUACCUUCUAUUAACUUGAGCCUUUUCAUCUGGUUGUAUUUAUAUGCACAACAACUUAGAAGGAGAGUCAAAGCUGCCGCUGCAGUCGAAAUGAGUACCAAGGACAGAUGGCGGUUAUUACUAUGUUCAUCUUUGUCAGCUGAAGCAGAAGUAAUGCUGUCUUUUUGUGCAGGAAAUAUGUAUAGUUCACCAAUUAAUAAUAACUAGCUAGAGAUGCCAUAAAAAUCAAUAUUUAUUGGAGAGAACAAUUAUUGCAUAUAUAAAUACCUGCAGCUUGAGAAAGCACCCAAUUAUGAUCAUCACAAUCAACUCGCCACACAUAGUAACCAAGCAAUCUCUUCUCUUUGGCAUAGGCAAUCUUAGUUCUAACAGCCUCCACGUCAUCAAAGCCAAACCAAAUCGUCCGAAUCGAGCAGUAAUUCACCUCAUAAGUUGAAUUGUACAUAACUUGGACAUCAGGACCAUAGUCCUUGAUGUGAUUCUUGAUUUCCUUAUAAGUCGCAAGGCCGCUAUCAUACAAAGCUGGUCCUGUUGCUGCUGCACCAAUACCAUUGUCUUCAGGUUUCACAAGCCUCCAUGCAUAGCCAUAGAAAGGCAAACACAUAACCAACUUAUCUGCCGAUAAUCCUCUCUCAAUCCAUGCCUUUAAAACCUGAUCGGUACAUCUAGCAAAGCCGCCGCUACUUGAGCCAUAGAGAGCCGCAGGUGGCGCCGUGAAGUUUGUUGACAUAGGCUCGCAGUAGCUAGCAGUAACCGCAUGAACCCAAUUCAAGUUUCGUUGUAUCGAAUUCAAAAGAUAUGAAUUCGCUGGUGGUGAAUAACGAAAUCUUGCGGUCAAAAUCAGCGGGGAUUGCUGGCGACUAGAGUUUUUUGCCUCUAAUUUUGUAGCAGCAAUUCGCCACUCGUCAAAAAGUAAACCAAUAUUGAACAUAUCGGUGCUUGUUUUAGGAGCUGUCCAAGAAAAGUCUAGGCCCUGAAAGCCAUAAAGCCUAGCUAUUCUUAUUGAAGAGUCGAUGAAAGAUUUUCUGUGAGAAGGAUUUCUCACCAUUGAAGAAUAAAUAGAAUAGUUUGUAUCCUUUCCUUGUCCAAUGGAGAGAAGUAUAGUGAUUGAUGGGUUCUUUUUUUUCACGGUGUCUGCGAAUUUGGCGAUUUGAUUUUCAUCGGAUGGUAAUGAUAAAGAUAGCUGGUAAGUGGUGGAAUUGAUAUCAGCAGAAGAGCAAAUAAGGUGAGUGAAGAGAUCAUAAUUUAUGCCCGAAAUGGUGGACACGUCGCUUAGAUCCAAGUGACCGACCCUAAUCCACGGUUUUGCUUUCGCGGGAUGAAGUUCUGAAUAGCAACGUGUGGAAGAUGAUGCUGAUAAUUAUGGAUGCCAUUUGAGACUUUGUUAGGAAUGGAAAUGGAUCCGCAGAAGAGAAAUUAGAUAAACACUAGUUUCACAGUUCAUUUAAGUUCUUAUGUAAACUAUUAACGUAGAGGUUCAUUUCGUUCAGAAAAAAAUCUUAUGCGCUCCUGGAUAGGCACAUACAUUGCAUGUUAAGAUGAUGAUAGGCGAUGCGACCAUUGCCUAAGAACUAAGAUUUUCUUCCGUCGCUUGGGUUGGCUGACUUUCCAUGAAGAAAAAUGAUGUUUUGAUUGACAUUUGGUUUAACUGAUGACAAAUUUCAGGCUAUAAAUAUCAGUAUUGUUUUAUUAAAUAAUAAAAUAUAAUAAUUUUACAUGUACGUUGAAAGUUAAUAACUUAAUAUUGCAGUCUUUUGAGACUGUGUUGACGUUUAUUCGGGUGCAUUCGUUUAUUAUAUAUUCCCGUUUUUCUCCCUGUGUGUUUGCUACAGUGCUCUUAAAAGAAUAACAUGUUUUUUUUCGACAAUAAAAGAAUAACAUGUUUAAAGCAUGUAAAUGCACCUCAGAAGUAGUUAAGAAAGACUUGAUAAAAAACCAGACAUUUUCUCUCUACUCAAAAAGUAGUUAAGACUGUAUGAACCAAUUAAAACGUCAGAUUCAUACUAUAACUAUGAUGAUUCAAUAAGACCUUCAAACUAAAUCCACAGAUUCCAUGAGUAAGAAACAAUGGAUCACAUUUUUUUAAGUUUAUGCUUUGAGUAAAAUAAAAGUAGAAACAUGAAUUUGAAAGAAGCAAUUUAGUUAUAAAAAAUUGUCAAGUAAUUAAUUGUUUGGCAUUUAUUUUAUGGGUCCCAACCCAUGUGAUCCGUAAAAUGAGACACCUUAUGUGAUUGGGUGCGCCAUGGUGCGCUAACCUCAUAUAAGCUUCUCUCUUCUUACGGAUAUAACUGUAUAUGGGUGGCAUUAUGUAGUGCCCCACAUGGGCUCUUUAAAAUUAUUUUAUGUGCAUUUUAAACAUUCCCUCGUUAUUGAUUUGAAACACUAAAAAUGCCUCUCUUAAAUUUUAAAAAUAUAUAAAAAAAAUUGCGUGUUUAAAGAAUGCUUGAUGUCUCUAGCCUAACAGUUAGCACACCUAUUGUAUACACUUUUACUUUUUUCUUCUCUAAACUUUCACUCCUCUUUUCUCUGAUUCUUCACACUUCACUGAUCUUUUAUCUCUAAAAAAAUUAAACUGUCUCUAGAAGCUUAUUACUAAUUUUCUGAUCUAAUUAUUUACAUAAGUAUUCUUGAUUGAUUAUCACUUCUUUAAUUUUUUGAGGGGGAUUUCUCUUGGAUGAAAGAAUUAAGGUUAUGUUCUAAGAAAAUUUUAACUCCCAUGUUAUAGUUUUGAUAAUGAGAUUAUCCUUAAAUUUUCAAUAUAUGAAAAUACUUCGAAACAACUAUUAAUUCGUUGAAUGAAACAUCCUAAUGAACUUAGAUUUUGGUACUUAUUAUUUAUUGAACUUUUUCUUUUAAAUUACAUUACUAUUUGAAGUGUGGCGGUAUAUGGUCUCUAGUCCAAAUGACGAAAUCAAAUCACCAUGUGCAUUAGUGUUUUGUUUGUGUGGUUGGAGGGGGGGGGGGGGGGGCGGUGUUUUUUAUUGGUGCAGGAAGAAAGCUCUUCAGGACUACUCGGAAAAAUAUAUAUAUAUAUAUGAGCAACACAUAGUCCAUUUCGCAUUGCAUAGAAGUAAAACCGAAGCAUUACACAAAAAGCACACGUUAUUUAUAUUUUUAGUUAUUGAUAAGAAAAUUUUUUCCCUCUUAUUAUCAUCUUAAUUAAGAAAAAUAGUAAUUCGUUUAACUGUUUGCGAAAAAUGAUGGCAAUAUACAAUAAUAUUGUGUUGAUGACCUUGAAAGCUAAUUCUUUUGAAACAGGAAAACUGGUAUCGUAUUCAAAACACAUAAAAGACGUAUCCAAGCUUUUAAUGUGAUCUAAAGAUCUCAUAGCUACAUUCGAAAUUAAUAAAUGAUCCCUAAGAGUUACGAAACUGAUAUCAAUGAAAUUACAAACUCUUAAGAGUUUAUAGAACAUUAAUUGAUCCAAAUCCAAUACAAACUGCUUACUAGUACAGCCUCAAGAGAGCCAUUUAUUUUUCAGUAGGCAAAUUAAGCAACUGCAGCAGUCACUAGCAGCUUGCCAAGAGCUAGCAUAGAUCAAUUGUUCAUCUUCAUAAGCUUUCUUUGAGAAAGUUUCAAGCUUCUUUGGAGUCAUUAUAUCGGCUGUGUUCUCGUUUUUGAGCAUCGAAUAAACUUCCAGCAUAGAAGGUCUACCGUUUGGGUUCUCCUGAACACAUAACAAAGCUAUUUGCAGACAUGUCAAUAAUUUCCAUGAGGAAUGCGCAUCAUCUAGUGAUGGAUCCAUUAACUUUAUGCCUUUCCCAUCCUUCCACAACUUGUAGGACUGAAAACAUCAAAUAUGUUAUUGAGUUACAUUCAAUUAAAUAGCACUAUAAAGUUUUGACCAAUUGUGCAUUAUAAAGGGGGUUAUACAGAAACUUACAUAGUGUACAAGGCUUAAAUUUUCAUUAUGACCAUAUUAAAUAAAAAAUCUCCUUCCAUUUAUAAUUUGCAAAAGUAAAAUCUCAAAACUGUAGACAUCAUAUUUAGUAGAGUAGAUGCCUCUUCUACAUACCCAGGAGGGAUGUAGCCAUUGUGGUACCGAUUAAUUACAAACGUCAUUGAAAUUGUUUGACCUAAAAGAUUAAGUUGAUUGGUAAAUGUUUAACAAUAGUAUUAAAGAUAAGUCGAAGAAAAUAGACAUAUAUAUACUUACUGUGUUCCAACAAUUCGAUUUGUGUUUGCUUCAAGAUCAUCUUUCACAAAAAUUCUAACGAAGUCAAAAUCUGAUAUUUUUGGUUUCAAAUCUUCAUCCAACAAAAUGUUACUAGCUUUCAAGUCUUAAUGAAUAACUAUUAAUCUAGAAUAUUCUUGAAGAUAGAAAAGCCCUUGAGUAAUUCCUUAAAUGAUAUGAAUGCAUUUUUUCCAAUCCAAAAUAAACCUUCGGAUGGGAUCUACAUCAAAUAUAAGUAUAGUUGGACGGUCUGUAGCAUUAGCAUUUAGAAAUGAGAAAUGCAAAUAAAGGAUUUCGUAAAUGAAGAAUUGCUCGCUGGAAGAAUAAGUUGAAUAAUCUGCAUUUCCUCCUCCGAUGGAAAGAAGGGUAGUGAUUGUUAGGUUCUUUGUUUUCAUAGUGUGUGUGAAGUUGAAGAAUUGUUCCUCAUCAGAAGAUGACAAAGAAAGUUUGUAGGACGUUGGAUCGACAUAAGCGAAACCACAAAUAAGGUGAGUGAAGAGAGCACAUUAUUUAUAUCUAAAAUGGGGAAGCCAGGCCUGGUUCCCAAAUACUAGCUCUGAUUAAAGUUUUUGCUUUUGCAGGAAGCGAUUCUGAAAAUAUAAAAAUCUGGAGGACCUAAGUGACAAAUUUGGAUGCCAUUUUGGAAAGCCAGCUGCCUGAAACAUGCCCAGUCUGUAUGUGUUUUUAUACACACACACAGAAAUUAUCCUAUAUUGACCGAGAUUAGUUAUGGUCCUAAAUAAUAUAUGUUUUAAGCAACCCUUAACCCAUGAGUUAAAGUUUAUAAACAGUAUCAGAGUCAGGUUAUGGACAAAUGCGCUUAUAUUACCAGACUAAAAUAUCAGCGUGCAUUUGAUGGAAUGAUAGGAAAAAUAUCCCACCUUAGUUAAGAUUAGUUACUAAGUUAAUAAUAUAAGAUUAAGGCAAUCUUCCACUCAUAUAACGCAAGAGUAUGAAUCACAAUUUAAUAAAACUAGGUCAAUUCGAUUUUUUAUAAAGAUAUAUGAGCUACAACUUGAGGUCGCUCACGAGUGGGGACGAGUUAGAUUAAGGCAAUCUUCAACUCAUAUAAUGUUGAUCAUGGACCGAAUCAACAUAGGAAACAAAAGUCGAGGAAGUUGAAUCUCCUUGCCUUCAAGUUGCAUGGAUGGGAGUCAUACAACGAAAAGGUUGUCUUCGUUCAAUGACGAUCGGCUUGAAGUUCUUAAAUUAAGCUACGGCGUUUGCCUCCACUUAGCUUGACUUCUGAAGCUGGAGACUCUUCCUUUUGUAUUGGCUUCGUUGGUACUUAAAUUACCUCGGAGUCUCGGAUGUGUUUCUGAAGCCAUGUCAUUGUCUACGAGUAGAAUUUUUUUUUUUUUUUUUUUUUUUGGGGGGAAGAAAGAGGAAGUCUAUCGGAAAAGUAGUAAAAUGAUAUUUUUUGUAAAGAUAUAGUAGGAAAAUGAUAGGGAGCAAUACUUCUUGUAGUCAUUUGAUAUUUGUCAAAUUUUAAAGUAGUGAAAUGAUAAUAACCCAAAAAAAAAAACAAAACGUUUUUCAAUCAAAAACAAAAAUAAAGAAAUAAAUAGACAAUCCCAUGUAUAAAAAGCUAACCGGGAAUGGUGAAGACGACACUGACAUCCUCCGUUUCUCUAUUAAGCUACUUCAAGUGUUUAAGGUUUUUGAUAAUUAUAGAAAUUAAGAAAUAACAUGAAGAAGAAUGAUCAAUUAGGGGAAGUGAUUGAAGUUGAUGUGGGUUUGGACGGUGGAUGAUGAAAGCUGACUUUGUUUUGUUAUGUAAAAUCAACGGUGCCCAAAAGGCUGUUCUGACGCAGAUGCUUCACUUCCUUGCAUACUGCUGUAGAAAAAAAUGGUUUUUUUCUAUCUAAAGGUUAAUAGUUUAGUUUGGUGAAAAAGAAUUUUAAGUACAGUAAAAUUUUUAUAAAUUAAUAAUUUUCUAUCAUAUAAAAUUUAUUAAUUUAAAAGAAGUAUUAAUUAAUCUAUAUUAAUAAUUUAUCAAUUUAUAAAGUGUAUAUACAAUUCGAUAAACAUACAUUUUAAUCAAUUAAAAUUCAUUGUAUUUUACCAAUCUAAUAAAUUAAAAAUGAAUUAAUCUACUAAAUAUAAAUUAAAUUAAUAAAAAAAUUUAUAAUUCUUACAAUUUCAAAAUUCAACCCUUAAACUUCUAGAAGUGAUACGCAUAGCAUUACUCAAUUUAAAUUCAACCCUUAAAAUCAUGGCAAGAGAAUAGUGAAGAAAAAAGAAAAGAAAAGGAAAAAACAAACUCACAAACACUUAGUUAUCGACCUCUAUGGCCUAUGCCACUGGCCUGUAGAACUAACUCCCUCAGAAAUGAUUUCAAGUUCCUGUAAUUUUCUGUAUAAAAUGAGAGCAUUUUCCUCUUUAAAGCAGGGGCAGUAACAGUGUCACAAUAGAAAGCAUUCUGAUGGUAAGAUUAAGUAGUAUUGUGAUUUUAAUUGGGGGGAAAAUGUCCCAUACGCUUAUUUCCUUAUGUGAUUUAGAUUCAAGUCAAGACGACCCUCCAUUUUAGUAUAAAAGUCUAUACAAAUGUACGUUUUACUCAAUGUUUACGUAGAAACAAAUGAUUUGCUGAUUUAGUACCACUCUUGUUUACUGGGUGGGAUUUGGCUCCUCCAAAUUUGUAGCCAAUAUUUUACUUUGAUGAGAAAAUCAAAUAACGUUUCAACAAAUAAUUUUUCUUUUCUACGUACUUUCUUAAAACGUAUGGAGUGAGUAAAGUACAAAUUGAUUUUUUAGCCCUUUGACUCUUCCAUAUUCAAACUCAAAUUAGUGGUCUGUUAAAUAUUGCUACUUAAAAUCAUUCAGCCAAAUAUUGUAAAAACUAUAAUUUCACAAAGUCAAAGUUUCAUUGAUUAUUGAAUUGUAGAGUGUGCUAUCAUUUCCUAGCUAAAAAUUUGUUUAGUUCUAUUAAGUUUCAAUCAUUUUUUAUUUUAUUUAAUUAAUUAAAGUGAAUUUAUUAUGUAUAAAUGCUAUUUAUGUGAAAUUUUAAAAUCCAGUGCUAAAUUGAAUUGUACUAAAUUUUUAUAAUUUUUUGUCACACCUGCAUUUCUAACAGUUUAGUAUAAAUAUUGAGAGCAAAUAGUAUAUAGGAUUAAAAGAGAUUGAUUUCGAGUGCUACAAGAUUUUUAGGAUUGCAUGCGCAAGGGUUUAAAAACAAAGUGUGCAUUUAAUUACACUAAACGUAGGUGCAUUUUUAUGAUGAAAUAAAAACUGGUUGUAUAAAUGGCUCCAUAAUUAGUGUACUUAAUAUCCAUCUAGCUAUCACUUCCGAAAAUGAUAUCAGAAGCCGAACACAUUUCCAACUGUAUUUUAGAUAAUAGUUCAAUCCCAAUUUCGUCAACUUGUUUUGAGAAAGCAGGCUUCUUGGGAGAAUUUAUAUUUCGUCAACUUGUUUCGUCAAUUUGUGCAUAUAAAUGUCUAUCAUUUGGAUUCUCCUGGACACACAACAAAGCUAUAUCCAGACGUCUCAUUAAUUUACAAGUGAAAUUUGUAUAAUCUCGUGAUGAAUCCACAAACUCCAUAUAUAUUUUUUUUUUUACCACGAGGUAUCAUGGGGAGGGCCCCAACUGUGGGAGGCACCUUUAAGUCCGUACCACAACUCAGACUAGAAGUCCCCGCUCGAACCGAGAGGCACAGGUUCUCCCAACAAAGGCGACUUCCCUACGACUUGAACUGGGGAGCAAACCCAGUCAAGCCAUUUAAGGGGACUCCAUUGCCAGUGGAGCCAACACUUUGUUGGUUAAACUGGAUAUUUUAUCUUGCUACAAACUCCAUAUUUUCACAACUCAUAUGCCUGAAAUUAUCAAGUAUUAUCUUGCUACAUAUUUUAUACUACUUAGUUAAGUGCAUAUAUAUAUAUAUAUAGACACAUACACACACACACACUAAAGGUUACUAUAGCCAAAGAAAUUUACAUGCUCUAGAAGACUUAAAUUUCCAUCGAUGCCACAUAGGCACAUAACAUAAAAAGACUUUUCCCAGUUAUCAUUCGUAAAAGUAAGACUUCAAAACUAAAAAUGUUUGAUUCGGUAGAGUAAACAUCUCUAUGAGUGUAUUUAGGAGGAAUAUAACCUCUACAUUUGAAAAUAACCAACACUCACUACUACAAAAAUGACUUUUACUGACACUUUGUUUCUGACACUUUGAAAAAAGUGUCAGUAAUUACCUAACUAUGCACAAUUUUCCGCUUUUAACAAAUAAAUGUCACAAAUUAUUAAUACUAAUGUAUCAGUAAAUUAAAUAUUAGAGAUCACUGAUACUUCAGCAUCAGAGAUCUAAAAAGAAUCAUUAAAAUUUGUUUUGAUUUUAACUCGAACCUGGGAUUUCUAAAACUCAAAACUUUUACGUUUAGAUUGCAAACCACUGGACCCCAUAAAAUUGAGUUGGAAUUACAAUGUUAUAUAAAAUAUUAACAUAUAAAAAACCAAACCCUAAUUCCCCUUUUCCAUUGUGCAAUAGAGCCCAUGCCGCAGCUGCUGCGUAAUUUCCUUGCCUUUCUUGACUUCUUCUUCUCUAUCGUGAAAGAUGGAGAAUGACCAGGCCCAAACGCCCACGCCCACAGCCGCGCCCAACCCCCACGGCUGCGCCCACCCCCACGCCGUUGCCACUAUCACUUCCGUUCAAGUGGUUCGACACUGCAGGUACUAAAUUAAGAAUUUAAAACAUGUAAAACGAAAGUAAAACAUAUCCCAAACUUAGCAAUUGUCCCCAUCUCCCUGUCUUUUAUACACACAAAUCUCUAACCCAAACUCAAACCCAAAACUGUCUCUUGCCUUUCUCUUUCUCUUUCCUUUUUCUCUUCUCGAUCUCUUCCUUUUUUUUCUGUCCAUUCACAAACUCGUUCAUUUAACUUAAAUAGAUAAUAUAAAGCUAAAACCCUAAGUGAGGCUUUUAUUCCCUUUUUCCUUUUUUUUCCCAAAUUGAAAAACGGACCAAAACCGUAAUCGAGGCUUCUUUUAUCAAUUUUUUUUCUUUUUAUGGUCAAAUUUCACUUUUUUUUUGUUCAAUAUUCAAAACCCAUUUGCUUGAAUUUGAAUAAAAUUAUUGAGAAAUUAGUUAAUUUUCUUGCUAUGGAAGGGAUACCACACCUUAUACGUAGACCUGUGAAGGAGAUUUUCAAUGACUUUAAGGGCAAACAGGUUGCCUUGAUUAAGGCUUUAACUGCUGGUAAUGGCUUAAUAUUUUAUUUUCUUUGUCAAAUUAAUUAAUAAUUUUUUUUUAUUUUAGCUUAUCAUUAUUAGGGUUUUUUGUUAAUUUUAAUUUUCUGGGUUGUUGCAGAUGUUGAGAAAUUCUGCCAGUGGUGCAGUCUUGGUGGGAUUUCUUUUCCAUAUCUAUUUUUUGUUUAUUUAAUUGUAAUUUGAAUUUUUUUCUUUUUUUUCCUAUAUUUCUAUAUUAUAUAGAUUGAAUGGCUGUGUAUUUCAUAAUUAUUAAGUGUUAUUUAUUGCUCUGUUUCAUGUAAAGAUAGGCAAAUUAUGUUAUAGAAACCAACAUGUUUAUUUUUUUAUUUUUUUUAGUUGGAAGAUUUUUAAUAGAGACAAUGACUAUGAUAUGAAUUAACUAAGUUCAUGAUUUGUCUUUAAUUCAAGAAGAAAAUGCUUGUUUUUAGGUAGUUUUGCUUGUUGUAGCACUUGAAGACUUACAUUUUCUUUGUUCAUUUGCACGGUUAGUUUCGCUCUUAUUCAGAAAUUUCUGUGUUUCCUCACUUGCAUGGUCAUUAAUUCAUUCCAUGAUUUUUCUUCUGUAAACACACUUUUAUUUUCCUUUCACUAGUUUGAAGGAAUUUAUUUUUUUAAAAUAAAAAAUUCUAAAGAUUGAAAUGAAUUGAAAUUGUUGCUAUAAUGUACUUUCUUUGCUGCUGAAGUUCAAGGAAUGUCUAUUUAAAUGAACUAGAACUUGAAAAAUCUUGAAGUGUUGUUGUACCCAUAGACUUCAUUUUUUUUCCUGCACAUUACACUUAUUUUGUUCAUCUUCUUACCUUCAAUUUGUCGUAGAGGUUAACAAUGAUUGACGAGAAAUGGAGGUUUGCAUUUACUGCGGCUGAAUCUCAUGAACAAGAAGUUGGCAAACUGAGGUCUGUAUUUUUUCCUCAAAUUCAUAGUUGAAUUCAUAGUAAGCUCAAAGCAAUUGAUUGAGGGAGAAAAUAAAUUGAGUUUUAUUUAUUAGUAUAAUUUUUGUUAUUUAGUGCUUUACACUCUUCAUGACAACUUCUGCGAUCUUGUCCUAUUACCUUAAGGUACUACUGGAUAUUUGAGAAAAAAUUAAAAAUUAUUAAGAUUAUCUUUCUUUGAUGAUAGAAUUACAAUAUGUCUUCUCACUUAUUAUAGUUCAUCCAAUUUUAUUUUUGUUGCACAGUCUGUGGAAAUCAGAGUACCACAUUUAAGAGUUUUUAUAAAAUGUCUCCUUUACCUUUCCUAUUAUUUAAACUAAUUUCAUGUGUAUUUCUUUAGUUAAUGAUUGAUUUUCAAGUAGUUGAAGGAAAGUAACUUGUAGAACCUCCUUCUAAAAUUGGUCUGGAACCUUUGUGUGCAAUGGUUAGUGAAAUCAUAAUCCGUGGCUUGUGUUAAUAUGCAUCGAUUGUGUGAAAACUAUUGUUUACUAUUUUCUGUGGCUGGUUAUUAACAUGAUUCACAGAUAAACAACAAUAGACUCAUACCCAUAUGCUUGCUUGUUUUCAACAAGCAUUUUUUUUUUGUAGGUUUUUUUUUUGUGCGUCUCUCUUUGAAGAAUAAUAUGAUUAUCUUACACGAAAUGGGGAAAUUCCAUUAUCUUGCUGCAAGUUUUUUCCUAGUUCUAUAGUUCUACCGUUUUGUAUCACCUUGGAUGACAUGUCGAGUGAAUCCUGGAACAUCAUUUUAUCUUGUUUGUACCUAUAAUACGUUGUGUUCAAUGUUCUUGAAAUUUUUGGGCAUGGCUGCAAACAAAUUUAGCAGUUUUUAAUAGCCAACUAUAGAGUCAAUUUAAAAUUUGUCUAGGUGGUGAGUUUCUAUGGUUUUGUAAUUGGGGUGAAAGGUAGCAAAUACUAAUCUUGUCUAAAGAGCAUUUGUGUAAGAUUACUUGUGAGUAUAGUGGGGCAGCAUAUAUUAGUAUUUUUAUGAAAUAAGCAGAAAAAGGGAUCCCUUUCUAUUGUCAGCAAUAAAAAGAAUUUUCAAAAAUGUAAACACCAAGCGUUCUAGUUGUAUUGUUAUUUGCAAAGAUCUUUUCAAUGUAUUUGUAGAUCCCAACAUACCUUGAUGCAUGAUCAAUUAGUCUGAAGAAUGUUGAGGAUUAUGUCAUUUUGAGCUGUUUAUCAGGUAGUUUGAGGUUAGAUUUGUUUUUUGGAGUAUUAGCUUGGAAUCUGAGUGCUUGCCUAAUUUGGAGAUUGGUGUGUGAUACUUCAAUAGCCUUUUUUUGUGGACUCCCUUUUGACAUUUUGUAAUUAUUGUUCUUAUUAAUACUAAUUUCUCUGUUUCCUAUAAAAAAUAAAUAAAUAAUGAAGGAUAGGUUUUUAUAUGGUAAGGAAUGAAUAAAUAUUAUAAGCAUUUAUUGGAAAAUAAAACUAUGCAGCUUAUUUAGUUGUUUUCCUAUUUAGUGAUAAAUUAAAAUUUUUGGCUUAAUUAUAUUCGGAUAUAUAAACACCAAGUUUUCAGUGUUAAGAUGGAAAACCAACGUCUUUAAAAUUUAUGAAUUGUUAAUACUGAAUCUUUUUUCAGUUUCAGUUAAAAAACAAAAAGGCCCUUCUUUUUUCUAUCUUCAAAUUUUGUGUGAUAGAAGUAUACUGUUGGGCCUUUCUUAUCAACUUUAGCUUUUGGGAUUAUUGUUGGUUUAACUUUAGAAUUAUUUGACCCAGAGAUUUUAUGUUCCAUUAAAUAAUAACACUCAAUACACUGGAUUUAGUUCAUGUUUAUUAAAUUUGGAUUUUUAUGUGAGACGGUACAAGUAUUGGGGAUUAGUGGUCUCUCAACAUUAUGAUCGAAAACCAGCCCUCACUGCCAAUUUGUAUUUUAAGCCCAAUAUUCAGUCCUUGAUCACUAUCAAACUUCCAUAAUCAUUUCUUCUUCAUAUUCUUAUAAAUCAGCCUCAAACUCUAAAGAAAAACCUAAGCCAUUCUCUGUAAGGGGUAAGCGUCUGUUCUUGUUCGGAUGAAGGUGCCAAGUUUUAUUUUGCUCUUUAACGUUAACAAGUCAAUUCCCCAUGAUGUGUUAGGUGAUUUGUUUGUUUCAUGCUGUUUAUUUCCUCGUCUUUUUUUUCUUCUAUCUACUGUUCCUUUAUGAAUUUGCCUCUAGGCAUUUUUGCAGUUGCUUACUAUGAAAUACAAUGGGCUUAUGCUAUAUUUUGUAAAAAUAACUAUGUAAUUCAAUCUCCAAAUUAGUUAAUCUUCUUAGUUGGCUUUGUCUUUGACUGUUUUUUAUAUCAAUUAAUUUGUUUCGUUGUGUACAGGUUAAUUUCUAUUGUUGGAGCCAUGAGUCUGCUGAACACAUUUUUCCUAACAGAGGUUUGGGAUAUGGACUUGCCCAAUUUUUGUCUGUUUUGUUUCUAGGUUAUUAUGUAAAAAUUUUAUAAUGGUUUGCUUUGCUUUGGGUUAUGAUGUAAAAACUUUGUAGUGGUUUGCCUCAAAUGUUUCUGUUAUUAUGUCUUUGGUCUUAUCCUAAGAUACGCUAUAUUCUUAUUCCUCAAUUUUUACCCCUGGAUUGUUUAAUGAGUUUCUAAUUUUGGAUGUAUACUAAUAAAUCUCCAUUUAUCUUUCUUAAUCCUUAGGAUUUUUUUUUUAUUUUUUUUAUUCUUCUUAAGUUGAGUUGUGUAUAGAUCUGUAGGAAAAUCCACUCAAAUUCAAUUCUUAGCAGAUAAAUAUUCCUACCUAUUACAAUUAGCUUGCACUAAGAGAGCUAUGUAUUGUUUUUGCCCCAUUCUUUGUUAGUCUCUUUGAACACUGAAAUUGGCCUGAUUGUUUUUUCUCCCAAAAAUUCAAGAAUUAUUUUUUGUGGUAUACUAAUUGAUUUUAUGUACUUGUAGGUGGGAAAAGAAAAAUGAAGCCGCUUGUGGAUGUUCAAUGACAUUAUGUGCUUCUUUUUGUUGGUUAAUAUUUGUUGAAUCUUAACAUAGUACUUGGUUGUUAAGAGCUUGUCCAAGACUUAAUUUAGUAUUUAUAUUUUUCUUUUCCAAACAAUGAUGUAGUUGAAUGAUAUGAAUUUGAGUGAUGUAUUUGAGAUGUCUCUUAUGCAAUUGUGUUGCGAGAUUUUGUAUAUUUAAUAUAUUUUGAGUUUUCUUUCAGUUGUAAAACAAAUAGGAAAAUAUAAUUAAAAUCAAAGUAUACUAUUAACCAAAAGAAUCAUAACAUCACUAAAUACUGACACUAAAUGUUUAAAAUAACAGUAAUAAUUUUUUAUGUUAUUGAGUCAGUGUGCUCUUGAUACUGUAGUCUCAUAAAUUACUGACAUAUAAAUAGUAUCAUUAAAUACUAACGCUAUCGUGUCAUUAUUUUAGUGAUACCAUAAUGACAUGAAUUACUGACACAAAAAUCGCUGACACUAAAAAUUAGUGUCAGUGUGUUCUGUCUGGAGAAUUAUUGACACAAUUAAUAAGUGUCAGGAAAAGUAAUUACUGACACUAAUUUAGCGUCAGUAAAGCCCAUUUUUCUAGUAGUGACUAUUUCAGUAUGUCUCUCUCUCUCUCUCUCUCUCUCUCUCUCUCUCUCUCUCUCUCUCUCUCUCUCUCUCUCUCUCUAUAUAUAUAUAUAUAUAUAUAUAUAUAUAUAUAUAUAUAUAUAUAUAUAUAUAUAUAUAUAUAAUCAGCUUCAGGUCUGGAAUUUAAAUUUGUAAAGAGUCUACAAUAUCGUAAAUUGCAUUCAUCACUGUUUUACAAUGGUCUAAAUUUUAUUAUAAAUGACUGUCAAAAAAUUAAUACAUGGUUAUCAUUUAUGAUUAUAAUUAGAACAUUAAAAUUCAAGUCGACUCAUUUGUCUUUACAUUGAUGUAUUCUUUGCGAUUAUACUUAGAAUGUUAAACAAUUAAGUUGAAACGACCCGCCCCAAAUCUCCAGGACAAGUCUAUCUAAUCUCGCCUAACCGAAUUAAUAAUAGUUCUAAUAUCUAAGAAUUCUACCAAAACUUCGGCAGAGUCUCUUAUAUAAUUAUUACAUCCCCAAACUUGUAAUUUAUAAAAUUAACACUCCAAAAAAUAAUACAAUAUUUAAUCAACCUCUACAACCAACUUCCUCAAUUUAAACACCAGUAUCCUUCAAACAUAUAAUGUCAAGAAUACAAUAAUUUAUCCUUAAUCGCAAAUAAGUAAUAAAUUAUACAAUUCAAAAUAUCCCAACAAAGCAUCUAUGAUUUUUAACACCAUCAUGUGGCUAUAGUUUCAAAUCUAACUAUCGUUGUUGGAUCGACUGAUGUACCUGCAAAUCUCCUAGGGAGGGGGGGAAAUAUAAUAAAAAUAUGGUGAGUAUAAAACUCAGUGAGCUCAGUGAGUGGUGGGGGUGGGCAAAAUCGGGUUCGGGUCAACGCGAUCGGGUUUCGGGUUGUUCGGGUUAGACAAGAACCAAUUCGAACAUAACCCGAAUUAUUGACCCAACCCGAACCGACCCGAACUGGAUCGGGUUGGAUUUAAAACGGGUUGGAUUGAGUUCGGGUCAAUUCGGGUUAGUUCGGGUCAGCGUGUGUGUGUGCUGUGCAGCUCGUGUGUGUUCUGUUCUGUUCUGUCAUUCUGCAUUUCUGUGUGCGUGCUGUGCAAGUGUGCAGCUUGUGACUUGUGUUGUGUGUGUGCAACAGCGUAUGUGUGUGUGGGUGCGGCUGUGUGCUUUGCAGCUUCUAACAAGUUGUGUGUGUGUGUUGUGCAGCAGCCAAGCAGCGUGUGUGUGUGUGUGUGUACAGUGUUAGCUUAGCUUAGGUUUUUUUUUUUUUUUUGAGAACCCGAUCGGGUAUUCGGAUCGGGUCGGGUUUGACCCAAACCGAUCACAACCCGAUCGGGUUUGUAAAUUUCAAACCGCUCGGGUUUCGAUCCCGACCCGAUCCGACCCGAACCCGAAAUUUAUCGGGUCGGGUCGGGUCGGAUCGGGUAAAAUGCCCACCCCUAGUGAGUGGAUAGUAGUUUAGGAAAAAUAAUUUAUUUAAAAUGAUUUAAUCUUUUCUAAAUCAAUUUCAUCAAAAUAUCAUAAGAACUUACAUAAACUUAUUUAAUUCAAAUCAUGCACUGAAAUAACAAUAUUACAUAAAUCUGCAUAAAAUCAAUGAAAUCAUAAUACUUAUUGUUAGCCUAUAUGGCUAUAAAUAUUGAUUUUGAUGAUAACAAACCACAUGUGUUAGUUAAACAAAGAUUUAUAAAUUGUGCUUUUAUAAUAAGAAAAUGAUUUUAUGGAAUUAAAGUGUUUUGGACCAAAAUAAAAGUAUUUUAUAAUCUUUGAUAUUGUUUUGAAUUUCGGAUUUGGACCUAUUUAAAUAUUUUUGGGCCAUUCUAUAAUUUCACAUAGUUUGGGCGAUAUUCUAAUUUCAAAAAUUUUUGGGAUUGACAAAGUAUUAUUUAGAAAUUCUAAAAUUGGACCUAUUUGAACACUUUCAUAACAUUUUAGGCCAUAAUAUAAUUUUAUAAAGUUUUGGGGUCGAAUUAUAAUUUUGGAAAACAUUUCACUGUAGCAAGCAGAUAUCUGGAUCCUAACAAAUGGUAGACCGGAUUUGGGCAGAAAGCUUCUGGAACUUAAACGGCUAUCCGGAUUUCACAAGCGGUAUACCAGAUGUUCAAAAAUUUAAAUUUUGGCUAUAACGGUAACAUUACGCGGCUAACCGGAUGUCCAUAAAUGGUAAGUUAGUUAUCACCUAAAUGUGCAUAACGGCUAGUUUUUGAGUUCAAACUAUAUAAACCCAAAUCCAAUUCAUUUUCAAGCUCUUUUGCAAACAAAAUCAAAAAGCACACAACAUUCAUUGAGCUCUCAUUUCGCAAAUCAUAAAACCUUGAAUCAUAUUUUGUUCUUCAAUUUGUAUAUCUACUCUUUAAGAGAGUUUUUAUUGUAAUCUUCAAUUCCUCAUCUUAAUUGUGAGUGUUUAAGUGUGUGAGACACUUGAGUGAAGAGAUUGAGAGAUAAUCUCUUUGUUGUAAAGGUUCAUUGACACCUUAAAGUCAAUUGUAACCAUUUGAAGCCUUAGAAGGCUUGCAUAGUGAAAUCAUCAAGCUUGGAUUGCUUGGAGGCGUGGACGUAGCCGGGGAUUGUCGAACCACGUAAAAAUUCGUGUGUUUGUUUCUUUUCUCCCUUACUCAUUUGUUAUUGUACUUUUAUUGAACUUAUUGCUUUCGAAUUUAUUAAGGCGUUAGAUUGGAUUGUUGUGUGGUUUUGUUAGGAUAAUUUUUAAAAAUACCAAUUCACCCCCCUCUUGGGUUGCACACUUGUAUUUCACCUAUAAUAUCAAAUACUGAAUACCAAAAACUAUCACCAAACAAGUACCCGGGGGAAUAAUCUCAUCAUAUUCGGACCUCGACGGACGGGCAAUCAGGGAACCAUCAUACCCCGGAGCUACAACGGAUAGACGGGGAAAUGUCAUCUCAUAUCUCAUGUAUCUCAACAUCUGUAUCUUUGUAAUCAUCAUACUGCAUGCAUAAGCCUCCAAAAGGAAAAAGCGCCCAAACACACAGCCAAAAGCCUCUAUGUGUGUUCAGACGGGCCUCAAAGACCUCUCAUCUCAUAUCAUCUGUAUCAUUGUGUUCAUCUUAUAUUAUCUGUAUCUCUGUGUCUUAAGGGGAAUGAUAUUGUCCAAUGAUUUUCCAAACAACCUUUUAUAAACAUGUACAUAAACAUAUAAUCACAUCUGAAAUCUCAUUUCCUUUUAUUCAACAUAUCUCAAAUCCACUCAAUUCUAAUAUCAUGCAUUUACUCAAAAAAAAAAUGAUAAUAGAAUCAUUAAUCAAACUCAUUUUCAAUACUAAUAAAUAUCAGCACGUAAAAUAAAAAUCAAUUUUCUAGAAAAUCAUUAAAUCGAAGCAUCAAAUACUUAUCAUCAAAACAUGUUGUACUGUAUAGUAAAAUCAUAGUAUACUAUGAAAAUAGGUUUUGUAUAUUCCACUCACAGUGACAAUGUCCAGACUCGGGAUCACCAACGUCCGCAGGUUAAUUCUCGCUCGCGGGUCCUCCUAAUUACAUAAACGACAUAAUUAUUAUCCAUAUCAUGAAAUACGACUAACAGUACGAAAUAAAGCUCAAAACCAAACUCCCGGAUACAUAAAAUUUCAAAAUUACCCUUAUGUCCAAAAAUUACCCAAAUGCCCCUGACACCGAAAUUUACCAAAUUACCAUCAGAAUCAUAAUUUAUCGAAUCAUCCUCAAUAUCUUAAAUUACCAAAUUGUCCUUAAUUCGGAUAACAAAAUUAAUCACAAGUUUUGAAUUUACAAAAUUACCUUCGAAGUACAAAAUUACCAAAAUGUCCUUAAUAACUUAAAUUACCGAAUUACCCUCGAAAUCUCAAAUUACUUCUCUGUCCUAAUCACAAAUUACCAAAUUAUCCACCAUUUUCAUAAAUUACAAAUUUACCCCAAAGUUUUAUGAAAUUACCGAAUUACCCUUGCCGGUCAACGGUGACCUGACUUCAGUCAAUGAUGACGGGAAGCUCAGGUCUAAUAGUUCAGACCUCGGUGAAUCCAACGAUGCUGGCGGUGACCUCCCACGCGCGGCGAUGGUGGCAGAUCGAAGCUCCAAAAUUCGUGAGUUUCCCGGUGUUCGUUCGCGGCCAAGACAGCAUCCCCGGUGAUCGUGGUCAGUUGGAAAGUGAUAAGUGUGAGUUGAGAAACAAGAUCCAGGCAGUGGCGUGGCUAAAAAUCCGACGGGAUCGACGGCGACAGAAACGGGUUGAGUCGCGGCUUUUCGAGCUUCAAACGGCGGCGUUUCGGUCGGCUUUUCUUUGAUUUGUUAUUUUGAGUUGUAUGAAAUAUAGCUUUACUUAUGUUUUUUUUUAUCAUUAAUAGGAAUUUUCUUGUUAAAACUAUAUGAAUUGAUUGAAACUUCAAAUUCAUACUACAACCAUGAUGAUUUAAUAAAACAUUCAAACUAAAUCCACAUAUUCCAUGAGUAAGAACCCUGAGAGCACAUUUAUUCAAGUUUAUGCUUUAAGUAAAAUAAAAGUAGAAAUGAGAAUUUUAAAGAAGAAAUUUAGUUAUAAAUAAUUGUCAAAUAAUUAAUUGUUCAGCAUUUAUUUUAUAGGUCCCACUGUUGGGACUCCAUGUGAUCUGCUAACUGGCAGGCCUUUUGUGGUUAGGCGAACCACAGUAUGCCUGCCCCAUAUAAGUUCCUCUCUUCUCAUAGAUAUAACUAGUGCUAUGUCAUGUCCAACAAGGGCUCUUCGAAACUUUUUAUGUGAAUUUUAAACAUUACCCCAUUACGCUUUUGAAACACCAAAACUACCUCAAAUUUUAAAAAUAUAAAAAAAAAUACAUAUUAAAAGAAUGUUUUAUGUCUUUAGCUUAACAGUUAGCACACGUAUUGUACUCUUGACAUUUUUCUUCUGUAAAUCUUCACUUCUUUUUUCUUUGAUUCUUCACACUCCACUGCUCUUUUAUCUCUAAAAAAUUAAAUUGUCCGUAGAAGCUUACUAUUUAAUUUACUGAUCUAAUUAUUUAGCUCUAAAUAUUUAGAUACGUUUUCUUAAUUAAUUAUCUCUUCUUUAAUUUUUUUGGUAAUUUCUCUUAGAUGAAAGAAUUAAGGUUAUGUCCUAGGAAAAUAUUAACUCUCAUAUUAUAGUGUUGAUAAUGAGGUUAUCCUUGAAUUUUUAACACAUGAAAACACAUCGAGGUAACUAUAAAUUCAUUGAAGGAAAUAUUUUAAUAAAUUUAGAUUUUGGUACAUAUUAUUUGUUGAAUUUUUUUUCUUUCCAAAUUGAACGUAGCCCUUAUGAUAUUCAGUUCGUGAUGGUGCCACUAAAUGUAAAGUGUCGAACUAGAUCAUAUUUCUCCCUUAUGCAAACUCCAUCGUUUAUUUAUAUUUCAAUUUUGUGGCCUAUUGUCGAGUUUUCUAGUUUCACAGAGGGCAUCUUGGAUUUCUCUACGUGGUCCAUAGUCUCUAGUCCAAAUGAAGAAAUCGAAUUCACCAUGUACAUUAGUGUUUUUUUUCUUUUUUCUUUUUGGGCGGGGGGGGAAUUUUUUUAUUGGCACAGGAAGAAAGCUCUUCGGCACUACUCGGAAGAAGAAUAUGAGCAACACAUGGUCCAAUUCGCAUUGUAUGGAAGUAAAACCGAAGCAUUAGACCAAAAGCAAACCUUAUUCAUAUUUUUAGUUACUGAUAACAAUUUCUUUCCCCUCUUAUUAUCAUCUUAAUUAAGAAAUAUAGUAAUUCGUUAACUUUUUGGGAAAUUAAAAAGGAUGGCAAUAUACAAUAUUCUUGUGUUGAUGACCUUAAAAGCUAAUUCCCUUGAAACAGGAAAACUGGUAUCGUUUUUCAAAGCACAUAAAUGAUAUAUCCCAGCUUUCAAUGUGAUCGAAAGAUUUCAUAGCCACACUCGAAAUUAAUAAAUGAUCCCUAAGAAUUCGUUAACUUCAAGAGUUUAUAGAACAUUAAUUGAUCCAAAUCCAAUACAAACUGCUUACUAGUACAGCUGCAAGAGAGCCAUUUUUUUUCAGUAGGCAUAUUAAACAACUGCAGCAGUCACUAGAAAGCUAGUAUAGACCAAUUGUUCAUCUACCAACCAAUUGUGAAAUUGUUACAUCAUUACUUGAACAUAUUUCCCAUCCAAUCGUGGCUUUAUUUUGUUCGUCUUCAUAAGCUUUGUUUAAGAAAUCGGAGUCCAUUCGAUGAGUCUAUCAGCAUUCUUUAACUAAUUAUUAGAUUAAAUGUAUAAAUUUAAAACUAGUAAAAGUUUAGACUAUGAAAGAACCUUGAUUCAUUCAAGAAAUAAUUAAAAUUUUAAUCCUUUUCAAACUGGUUAAUAUUAACCUUAUCAUUAUGCGAAAACACAAUUUAAAAGAAAAAUAAAAUAAAAUAAAAAUCUCACAAAGUUGGUGUGUGGAAUAGUCAAUACGUUGUCCUUGAUUUUUUAUUUUUUAUUUUUUACAAACCCUUAAAGAGUCUAUAGAUGUAGUUAGUGAUAUUACAUUACAUUAAUUGAUCCAAAUCCAAUACAAACUGCUUACCAGUACAGCCUCAAGAGAGUCAUUUAUUAUUCAAUUGGCAAAUUAAACAACUGCAGUAGUCACUAGCAGCUUGCCAAGAGCUAUAGCGUAGAUCAAUUGUUCAUCUACCAACCAAUUGUGAAAUUGUUACAUCAUUACUUGAACAAAUUUCCAAUCCAAUCGUGGCUUUCCUUUGUUCAUCUUCGUAAGCUUGCUUUGAGAAAGUUGCAGGCUUCUUUGGAGUCAUUAUAUCAGCCGUGCUCUCAUUUUCGAGCAUCGAAGAAACUUCCAGCAUAGAAGGUCUAUCGUCUGGGUUCUCCUGAACACACAACAGAGCUAUUUGCAGACAUGUUAGCAAUUUCCACGAGGAAUGCGUAUCAUCUAGUGAUGUAUCCAUUAACCCCAUGCCUUUCCCAUCUUUCCACAGCUCAUAAGCCUGUAAAUAUCGAAUAUGUUAUUGAGUUACAUUCAAUUAAUUAGCACUAUAAAGUUUUGAUCCAGUGUGCAUUAUAAAGGGGGUUAUGAAGAAACUUACAUACUGUACAAGGCUUAAAUUUUCAUUCUGGCCAGAUUGAACGAACAAUCUUCUUCCACUUAUAAUUUGCAAAAGUAAAACCCCAAAACUGUAGACAUCAGAUUUGGUGGAGUAGAUGCCUCUCGUCACAUACUCAGGAGGGAUAUAGCCACUGUUGUACCAAGUACUUACAAAUAUCAGUUAAAUUGUUUGACCUAAAAGGUUAAGCUGAUUGGUAAAGGCUCAACAAUAGUAUUAAAGACAAGUCGAAAAAUAGACGUAUAUACACUUACUGUGUUCCAACAAUUCGACUGGUGUUUGCUUCAAGGUCGUCUUUCACAAAAAUUCUAGCUAAGCCAAAAUCUGAUAUUUUAGGCUUCAUAUUUUCAUCCAAUAAAACAUUACUAGCUUUCAAGUCUCGAUGAAUAAUUGUUAAUCUAGAAUAUUCUUGAAGAUAAAGAAGCCCUUGAGUUAUUCCUUGAAUGAUAUGAAUGCGUUUUUUCCAAUCCAAAAUAAACCUUCGGAUGGGAUCUACAUCAAAUAUAAGUAUAGUUGGACGGUCAGUAGCACUAGCAUUUGGAGAUGAGAAAGCAAAUGGAGGCACAUAAAUUAAGAAUUAAGCAGAAGCACAUACCAAAAAGGAAAUAGUCUAAGCUUUGUUUUGGCAUGUACUCGUAGAUCAGCAUUUGUUCUUCUCUGUCAAUGCAAAAACCUAAAACCUUAAUAAGAUUUACAUGUUGGAGUUUUGCAGUAAGCAUAACCUCAUUCUUGAACUCCUCAAAUCCUUGUUUGGAUGUCUUUGAGAGUUUCUUCACUGCUAUUACCUGUCCAUCAGGUAAUACACCCUGCAAACACCCCCAAAACAUUAAAAAGGAAAAAAAAAUGCAAUGUUCAUAUACAUAUGUGUGUGUGUGUAUUUCGCUAAUUAAUUAAUAAGAUGAGAGAUAGCCAAGCUAUCGAUAUAUAACCUUGUAAACAGGGCCAUAUCCACCCUCCCCGAGCUUAUUUUCAAUUGAAAAUCUAUCCGUGGCCACCUCAAUAUCAGCCAAGCUAUAUUCUCUAAGAUCAGGAUCAUUGCUGUUAAAAUCUCCAGCAUGUGCUUGACUGUUUGCUCCGUCCUUUGAUGACUUGGCUGAGUCAAUUACUAUUCCAAUUAAUAUCAACCAAGGAAAAAAAAGAAAAAGAAAAAGAAAAAAGCUAAUUUAAGUAAAUUGCCCACUUCUUCAGCUGUGCUAAAUAGAAUAGAAGUAAAAAUAAUCCUAAACCCCUGUAGAAGAAGUUACCUUUUAAUUUGAGGUUUUUCAUCCAGCAGUAGUAAUACAGCCAAAAACCUAGUAGAAGAAUACAAGCUGCAGUGGUAGUCAAAACAACUACCCAUAACAGUCGCUUAUUUUGACCACUCUUGUCAUCCUCUUCAGCUGAAAAGUCAAUCACUUUGCGUUGGUUAACCAUUGAUGCUGAAAUAAAGAUCUUAAUUCAAGUCAUUAUCCAGAAAAGUGAUCAACGGAUUGCAGUGAGUGCGGAAUUCCAUUUGCUUACCUGCAGCUUGAGAAAGCAUCCAAUCAUGAUCAUAGGAAACUAGCCACACAUGGUAUCCGCGUAGCUUCUUCUCCUUGGCAUAUGCAACCUUCACUCUAAUGGCCUCCACAUCAUCAAAACCAAACCAAAUCUUCCCAAUCGAGCAGUAGUUCACCACAUAAGUUGAAUUGUAAAUAACUUGGACAUUAGGACCAUAUCUCUUGAUGUGAUUCUUGAUUUCCCUAUAACUCACAAGACCAUCUUCACUCAAAGCUGGUCCCGUUGCUGCUGCACCAAUACCAUUGUCCUCAGGUUUCACAAGCGUCCAUGCAUAGCCAUAGAAAGGCAAACAUAAAACCAAUUUAUCAGCCGAUAACCCUUCGUCAAUCCAUUCCGUGAUUCCGUAUUCAGUAUUAGAGACACUAUUUGGAUCAUACAGAGCCGCAUGAGCACCAGUAAA